rnacentral:lncRNA from 1 species
CUCAUAAGGAGUCAUAACCAUUCAACCGUAACAACAUACGAUAGCCGACAAGGCCGCCACUAUCCAAAUCAUAAUAACAUACAUAAGCCGACAAGGCUACCACUACACAAUACACAAUGAUGUACACAACCGACAAGGCUGCCCCUGUUCAAGCGGACAUCCCAAAUAAACCAUGUCAAGACCAUUAUCCAAAACAUAUAUAUAUAUACAACCCACAUAAUGUCCCAGACCUCUAAGAGUACAGUAGUGAAACUCGAUGGGACAGGGCCACGCCAUACCCAUAGACGAGCAAAAGACUACACAAAGAGUUAUGUACCAAAACAACUGGGCUCCGGAACAGUGGAGCUCUCCCAAUCAGCAGAGUAGAUAUCCUAGGCAGGAGGAUCAUCGAACUGUGCAUCUACACCUGCGGGCAUGAAACGCAGUCCCCCGAGGAAAGGGGGUCAGUACGGACAAUGUACUGAGUAUGUAAAGCAUAAGGUAAAGAUGACAGGAUACCAAUAUGGCAAGUCGAAACAAAAUAUCACUACACAUGUACCCUUUUAAGUGUAAAUAAUGCAUAUCUUUAACAUAUAAGGUGCCCAGCUUCCCUAGUAAGGGGCUCGGAAAAAUAAUCAUCACGUCAUCUCCGUCAUUAUCAUCAUCAUAACCAUCCUCAUCACCAAUCAUAUAUAAUAUAUAUACCCGGCCCUCUAGUGAGGGACUCGGUGACAUAUGCAAGAAACUCCGCACGAAUAUUGACCGGCCCGGGACUCGGUGAAAUGAUAAAUGACUCUAUGCACGAGCAGAAUAUUAUGAGCAACCAUAUGCAAUUAAAAUCAUUUCUUAUAACUCAAUAGCACAAUCCACGUGAACCAGCAAGGAGUAUUACCAAAGAUUAACGUUUUAUCAAGAUUAUGAACCUUUAAUACGAUAUGGAAAUGUAAAAUCUCAAUGACUCUAAGAAGCACUACCAUAGAUAUGAGAAAUUAUCAUAGUCUUUGACAUAGCAGCUAUAUAGAGGAAUAAUUGUGGAAGCAAGAAUAUACGUCACCUAGAUGCUCUAGAGGGAAGUAUCAAACCUAUUCGUUAUUCGCUUAUUUUUACAAGUCAAGCCAAACAAAGAAAGAAGGGACAACGUUACAUACCGUAUAGUCGAGCCGCACGUCCAAUAUUUACUGCUCAAGCUAUUUAUCUAUAAGAAGAAACAAUCGUGCCGCAAUUAGAUAAACGUCGCGCUUUACUAUCUUGUAAGCUAGCUAAUAAUCUAACAAAAAUUCGGCAGCACUUCCCCUAUUUUCCUUACUUCGUCCCAAUCCGAUAACAACCCAAAUUAUCCACAGCAAUACCAAUAACACAUAUAACCCAACGAAUCAUAUUAAACAGCCCCCUCCCCAAAACAGUUCCGUCUCGGCAACCAUAGCAGCGAAGCAACGACACACCGAGCGAUAACUCGUUUUAUAAUUCGCAACACAUGUACCUUAUCGUAUUCAUCCUUUGGAGUAUAUACUCAUAAUCACAUUUAACAUAUCCAUAACGCCAAAACAGAAUUUUCCCGCAGUUUGCUUUAAUCAAAACAGCCCAAGCACCAACACGACACCACUAAUAAUCCGAUUAUGGUUUCCGUUCAUACUUAGCACAUUCAAUAACUAAAACAAACUUCCUAAGCUACUGGUCACGCCCCCUUCUUAAUAUUAAUGGAUAAUUAACAAGGUAUUCUAAAGAAUUAACACACCACGCAAGGAGAUUACUAACCAAAUUAUUUGCAGCUGCUGGCCAAGAGUUGCAGGGUUGGUUUCUCAAUUUCCAUGGCUGCCUAAGCCAAGUGGUGAAGAAGAUGAUAUGCAGCAAUGCAUUUCACCACUUUAUUUAGUAUGGAGUGGAUUUCUCCACCUCAUUUAAAAUAUGAAGUGGAGGCAGCCCCCCCCUCUACACGUGUCCACUAAGGCCAGCUCCAAAUCUGAUCCCUUUUUAAUUUUUGCCUUGAGUGGUGGGGCCCACUGGAUUAAAUUAAUCCUAAUCAGCCACUAAUUAAUCCCUCACUUAAAGUUAAUGGCACUUACAUUAGCUGAAUCAUACUUAAUAUCACAUUUGGAAUUAACAUCCUUGCCUAAUAUUUCUUUAAUCACUUGGAACUUAAAAUAAAAUCUCAUUCCCCAGACUUACGUCUACUAGAUCAUGACGCGCAUGACUUAUAAAAAAAUACGAGGCAUAACAUCCUUCCCCCCUUAGGAACAUUCGUCCUCGAAUGUUAAGUUAGUGUCUUACAAAAACAAAUUCCAACGAGGUCUCUCUAACAGUUAUACCUAUCAACCUGCAUUCCGUAACUUACAGAUGCCUCAUAGAGUCACAACUUACUACAUAAUCUCGUUUAUCAAUCAAUAUAGUCAAGCUAGGAGUUGAAUUACCUGCAGGUACGGGGAACAAGUAAGGAUACUUAUUCUUCAUUUCGUGUUCCGCUUCCCAAGUCAUCUCCUCCCUAUUAUUAUUUUGCCACAACACUUUCACGGAAGCCACAUCCUUAGUACGUAACCUUCUAACCUGGCGAUCAAGUAUAGCUUGGGGUUUCUCCUCAUAUGACAACUCCUCUCUGACCUGAACAUCAUCUAUGGGGAAUACUCUAGAAGGAUCACCAAUACAUUUACGUAGCAUCGAUACAUCGAUACUCUAGAGGGUGAAAUGAUGUGCUAAGGUUCACCUGUGUCCCCAAUCCCUUCUGAAAUGAUCUCCAAAAGUUGGCUGUAAAUUGAGCUCCUCUGUCUGAUAUAAUGGACAUGGGAACCCCAUGAAGUCUCAUUAUCUCCCUGACAUAUAACCUCGCAUAAUCUUUAGCCGAAUAAGUAGUCCUGACUGGAAGAAAAUUGGCCGAUUUCAUCAGCCUAUCUACAAUGACCUAUAUAGAGUCAUACUUCCGUUGAGUGCGAGGUAAGCCUGUAAUGAAGUCCAUAUUAAUCAUCUCCCAUUUCCAAGUCGGGAUCUCUAUCUCCUAUAAUAAUCCACCAGGCUUUUGAUGUUCGAUCUUGACUUGUUGACAAUUCGGGCACUGAGCAACAAACUCCACUAUGUCCUUUUUCAUGUCAUCCCACCAAUAUAAGCAUCUGAGGUCAUGAUACAUUUUUGUUGACCCUGGGUGAAUGGAAUAAUGGGCAGAGAGUGCCUCUCCCAUAACCUGCCGUCGUAGCCCCGCAAUAUCGGCUACACACAAUCUGCCUUCAUAUUGUAACACUCCGUCAGGUGUAACCUUAAAUGGGGUCUUUUUCUUUUGAAGAGCUGCAUCUCUAUGUUGUGCCAGAAUAGGGUCUUUGUAUUGGUGACUCUUUACCUCAUCUAUGAUUGAGGACUCAGCAAACUCUCUAAUAGAAACUCCACUAUCUUCUGAAUUAUCCAGACGGACUCCAAGGCUGGAUAGCCGCUGAAUCUCCCGAACCAUAUCCCUCCUUUCUGGUUGUACAUCUGCCAAGCUACCCAUGGACUUUCGGCUAAGAGCAUCUGCUACAACAUUCGCUUUCCCUGUAUGAUAUAAAAUAUCAACAUCAUAAUCCUUUAGCAACUCUAACCACCGCCUCUGUCGUAAGUUCAGCCCCUUCUGUUUAAAGAUAUAUUGGAGACUCUUAUGAUCUGUAUAGAUGUCCACAUGGACAACAUAUAAAUAAUGUCUCCAUAUCUUCAAGGCAUGAACCACGACCACUAACUCCAGAUCGUGAAUAGGAUAGUUCUUUCAUAGACUAUCGGGAGGCAUAGGCUAUAACUUUGCCAUGCUGCAUCAAUACACAUCCUAUCCAAACACCCGAAGCAUCACAAUAAAUAACAUAGCCGUCUGGUCCAUCCGGAAGAGUUAGGACUAGAGCUGUAGUCAAUUUGUCUUUCAAUAGCUGGAAGCUUCGCUCACAAGCACCAGUCCACUGGAACUUGGUUGCCUUUUGAGUUAUCCUUCUCAAAGGUGCUGAAAAUGAGGGAAACUUUUCUAUGAAUCUCCUGUAAUAUCCUGCUAACCCCAGAAAGCGGCGUACCUCAGUAGGUGUCGUAGAUCUGGGCCAAGUCUUUACCGCCUCAAUCUUCUGCGUGUCUACCCGAAUACCAUCAGCUCCAAUAAUAUGUCCCAAGAAUGCCACUAAAGUCAACCAUAACUCACACUUAGAAAAUUUAGCAUACAACUUCUGGUGCUGAAGCACCUUAAGUACCGUCCUUAAAUGGUCUGCAUGCUCCAGUUCUAAACGUGAAUAGAGCAGAAUAUCGUCUAUAAAUAUAAUAACAAACAUAUCAAGGAAUGGUUUAAAUACUCGAUUCAUUAAAUCCAUAAACACCGCUAGAGCAUUAGUAAGCCCAAAAGACAGCACUCUAAACUCAUAAUGCCCGUAUCGGGUCCGGAAUGCCGUCUUUGGAAUAUCUGCCUUCCUUACCCGCACCUGAUGAUAACCUGACCGCAAGUCUAUCUUUGAAAAACACUUUGCACCCUACAACUUGUCAAAUAGAUCGUCAAUCCUUGGGAGGGGAUACCUAUUCUUUAUUGUUACUUUGUUCAGCUGCCUAUAAUCAAUACACAUCCGCAGCGACCCACCUUCUUCCUCACAAAUAGUACCGGUGCUCCCCAAGGUGACAUACUAGGCGUGAUGAAGCCCUUUUCUAGCAAAUCCCUCAAUUGCUCUUUCAAUUCUUUCAACUCAGCAGGUGCCAUUCUAUAAGGAGGUAUAGAUAUAGGCUGGGUAUCUGGCAGUACAUCUAUAGUAAACUCUAUCUCUCGUUCUGGAGGAAGGCCUGGAAGUUCCUCGGGGAAUACAUCGGGAAAUUCAUUAACUACCGGGACUGAUUGAAGAGUCGUUGCAUCUGCCUUUAUGUCAUGCACCCGAAUCAGAUGGUAAAUAUAGCCUUUUCUAACCAUCUUCCUAGCCUUAAUGUAUGAAAUGAACUUACCUUUCGGCGAUAUUGUACUCCCCUUCCACUCUAUAAUCGGUUCCCCUGGAAAUUGAAAUUGAACUAUCUUUCCUCUGCAACCAACAUUAACAUAACAAGAAGCCAACCAAUCCAUGCCCAUGAUAAUAUCAAACUCAAUCAUAUUUAACUCUAUUAGAUCUGCUACGGUACGAUGACUAUAUAUAACUACUAAACAAUUCUUAUAUACUGGCGUAGCUAUGACAAAAUCUCCUACAGGUGUAGCUACCUCAAAUGGUUCUAUCAACUUAGACUCUAUUCUGAUCCUACUAGCAACAAAGGGAGAUAUAAAUGAUGAGGUUGAACCAGGGUCUAUCAAUGCGUACACACUUCGGGAGAAUAGUGAUAAUAUACAUGUGAUCACAUUAGGUGAAGCCUCCUGAUCCUACCUAUUAGUCAAAGCAUAUAUACGGUUCAAGAGACCGCUAGAAUUGGAAGCUCCAUCACGUCUUCUACCACGGCCUACUGGCACCUGAAUACCCUGCCCCGUAGAGCGCAUAGCCACAGAAGAAGAUGAACCAACAACGGACCCAGUAGGCUGUGUCAUACCACCUGCACUACCACUAAGGUGACACUCCCUCAUAGUUUGUCCCUGACGGCCGCAAGAACAACACGCACCUAUAGCCCAACGACAUUCCCCAUGAUUGGACUUACCACAACGAGAACACUGAGGCAAAGGUGGCCUCGACUGGCUCAAACCCCUGCCCAUCUGUGACCCUGACUCCCUAGAGCUCUGACCAGCUUCCGAAUAUCCCAUAUGAUCGAACCCCCUACCCAUGAAACGAGGGGUGCACUCUGUGCUGGCUGGGAAGAAAAUCUAACAUGCUGCUGAGACUGCCCGCUUCGAAACUCGUCAGGAUAAACUGCUGAUCUAGCCCUCUUAUGCUGGCCUCUAUUAUAAUCUCUAUCUGUCUGACGGGACCGGUGUCGAUCCUCUACCCCCUGUGCAUUCUGCACCCGAGCAAUGUCCAUACCUGGCUGAAGAGUCACUGGCAUACAACCGUCAAUCAGAUAACGAUCCAAUCCCAUCACAUAACGAUGUACCCUGUCUGCCAUAUCAGCCACAAUAGUAGACGCAUGCCUAGCUAAUGAAUCAAACUCGAAGCUAUACUCUCGAACGCUCCUGCCAUUUUGCUUUAAAUGCAAGAAUAUAUCGACUCUAGUUCGCUUUAUCUCAGGAGGCAGAAAGUGGCCCUGGAAAGCCUCCAAAAAUUCAUCCCAUGCCGCUGGAGGAGCAACCUCACCCCUAGAUAACUCCCAAGACUCAUACCAAUUAAUAGCUACAUCCGCAAACAAUACGUAUCCAACUCAACAGACUCGGUCUCCGAAGCCUUGAUUAUCCUCAAUGUACGCUGCAUCUAACGAAUAAACUCUUGCGGAUCAUCCUGGGGCCUUGACCCAAAGAAAUCUAGAGGAUUACAACUUAAGAAGUCACGAGCCCUUAAGCUAUCAGAUUGUCCGCAUGAUCAACUCCUAGUCCAUGCCUGCGAUCCUGACCUGCCACUAAUCUAGUCAGCAACUACACAGCAUCUCUCAUGGCCCUAUCCUCCGCCCCUGACGAGGAGCUGGAGGUUCGGGUGCUGGGGCCUCGGGGGCUGGUGGUGUCCCCCGAAAUGGAGCUGCUGUCACGACCCAACCCGAUGGGCCGUGACUAGUGCCCGUUUUGGACACCCACAUACAAACCUGCUAAGUAUAACCAACUGAAACUAAGACAAUAUGGAAUUUAAUCAAAUCAAGCAAACCCCAACGUCAUAUAUAUAUAAGAGGACCUGUCUCAUAAGGAGUCAUAACCAUUCGACCAUAACAGCAUACGCGAGCCGACAAGGCCACCACUACACAAUACACGAUGAUGUACGCAGCCGACAAGGCUGCCCCUGUACAAGCGGACAUCCCAAACAAACCAUGUCCAGACCAUUAUCCAAAACAUAUAUAUACAACCCACAUAAUGUCCACAGACCUCUAAGAGUACAUUAGUGAAACUCGACGGGAAAGGGCCCCACCAUACCCAUAGACGAGCAAAAGACUACACAAAAGUUAUGUACCAAAACGACUGGACUCCGGAACAGUGGAGCUCUCCCAAUCAGCAGAGUAGAUAUCCUAGGCGGGAGGAUCACCGAACUGUGCGUCUACACCUGCGGGCAUGAAAUGCAGCCCCCCAAGGAAAAGGGGGUCAGUACGGACAAUGUACUGAGUAUGUAAAGCAUAAGGUAAAGAUGACAGGAUACCAAUAUGGCAAGUCGAAACAAAAUAUCGCUACACAUAUACCCUUUUAAGUGAAAAUCAUGCAUAUGUUUAACAUUUAAGGUGCCCAGCUUCCCUAGUAAGGAGCUCGGCAAAAUAAUCAUCACGUCAUCUCCUUCAUCAUCAUCAUCAUAACCAUCCUCAUCACCAAUCAUAUAUAUAAUAUACAUACCCGGCCCUCUAGUGAGGAACUCGGUGACAUAUGCAAGAAACUCCGCACGAACAUUACCCGGCCCGGGACUCGGUGAAAUGAUAAAUGACUCUAUGCAUGAGCAGAAUAUUAUGAGCAACCAUAUGCAAUUAAAAUCAUUUCUUAUAACUCAAUAGAACAAUCAACGUGAACCAGCAAGGAGUAUUACCAAAGAUUAAUGUUUUAUUAUGAUUAUGAACCUUUAAUACGAUAUGGAAACGUAAAAUCUCAAUGACUCUAAGAAGCAUUACCAUAGAUAUUAGAGAUCAUCAUAGCCUUAGACAUAGCCGAUAUAUAGGGGAACAAUUGUGGAAGCAAGAAUAUACGUCACCUAGACGCUCUAGAGGUAAGUAUCAAAUCUGUCCGUUAUUCGCUUAUUUUUAAAAGUUAUGCCAAGCAAAGAAAGAAGGGACAGCGUUACAUACCGCAUAAUCGAGCCGCACGUCCAAUAUUUACUGCUCAAGCUAUUAAUCUAUAACAAGCAACAAUCGGGCCGCAAUUAGAUAAACAUCGUGCUUUACUUUCUUGUAAGCUAGCUAAUAAUCUAACGAAAAUUCGGCAGCACCUCCCCUAUUUUCCUUACUUCGUCCCAAUCCGACAACAAUCCAAAUUUUCCACAGCAAUACCAAUAACACAUAUAACCCAAAGAAUCAUAUUAAACAGCCCCCUCCCCAAAACAGUUCCGUCUCGGCAAACAUAGCAGCGAAGCAACGACACACCGAGCGAUAACUCGUUUUAUAAUUUGCUACACAUCUACCUUAUCGUAUUCAUCCUUUGGAGUAUAUACUCAUAAUCACAUUCAACAUAUACAUAAUGCCAAAACAGAAUUUUCCUGCAGUUUGCUUUAAUCAAAACAGCCCAAGCACCAACAUGACCACUAAUAAUCCGAUUAUGGUUUCCGUUCAUACCGAGCACAUUCAAUAACUAAAACAAACUUCCUAAGCUACUGGUCACGCCCCCUUCUUAAAAUUAAUGGAUAAUUAACAAGGGUAUUCUAAAGAAUUAACACACCAAACAAGGAGAUUACUAACCAAAUUAUUUGCAGCUGCUGGCCAAGAGUUGCAGCAAUGCAUUUCACCACUUUAUUUAGCAUGGAGUGGAUUUCUCCACCUCAUUUAAUAGUAUGAAGUGGAGGCAGCCCCCCUCUACACAUGUCCACUAAGGCCAGCCCACAAUCUGAUCCCUUUUUAAUUUUUGCCUUGAGUGGUGGGGCCCAGUGGAUUAAAUUAAUCCUAAUCAGCCACCAAUUAUGAGUGGUGGGGCCCAUUGGAUUAAAUCAAUCCAAAUUAGCCACUAAUUAAUCCCUCACUUAAAGUUAAUGGCACUUACAUUAGCCAACUCAUACUUAAUAUCACAUUUGGAAAUAACAUCCUUGCCUAAUAUUUCUUUACGUCUUCUAGAUCACGAUGCGCACUACGUAUAAAAAAAUAUGAGGCAUAACAUCCUUCCCCCUUAGGAACAUUCGUCCUUGAAUGUUAAGUUAGUGUCUUGCAAAAACAAUAUCCAGCGAGGUCUCUCUAAAAGUUAUACCUAUCAACCUGCAUUCCGUAACUUACAGAUGCCUCACAGCUACAUAAUCUCAUUAUCUAUCAAUAUAGUCAAGCUAGCAAUUGAAUUACCUGCAGGUACGGGGAACAAGUAAGGAUACUUAUUCUUCAUUUCGUCUUCCGCUUCCCAAGUCAUCUCCUCCCUAUUGUUAUUUUGCCACAACACUUUGACGGAAGCCACAUCCUUAGUACGUAACCUUCUAACCUGACGAUCAAGUAUAGCCACGGGUUUCUCCUCAUAUGACAACUACUCUGUUACCUGAAUAUCAUAUACAGGGAAUACUCUAGAAUGAUCACCAAUACAUUUAGGUAGCAUCGAUACAUGGAAGACUGGAUGUACCGCCUCCAAAUCAGAUGGUAGAUCCAAUUCAUAGGCAACCUUACCUAUCCUACGAAUAAUCUGAUAAGGCCCAAUGUAUCUCGGACUGAGCUUCCCCUUCCUGCCGAAUCUCAUCACACCCCUUAUGGGUGAUACCUUCAGAAAUACCUAGUCACCAAUCUGAAACUCCAAAUCUCGAUGCCGAUUAUCUGCAUAUGACUUCUGUCGACUCUAGGCUGCUAAUAAUCUUUCUUGAAUAAGCUUCACCUUGUCAACAGCUUGCUGAUUCACAUCCGGGCCUAUUAACUUAGUCUCGCCAACAUCAAACCAACCAAUAGGUGAUCUGCACUUCCUCCCAUAUAAGGCCUCGUACGGUGCCAUCUGGAUACUAGAAUGGUAGCUAUUAUUAUAGGCAAACUCAAUGAGCGGCAAGUGGUCAUCCCAGCUGCCUUUGAAGUCAAUAAUACAGGCCCACAACAUAUCUUCUAGUGUCUGAAUAGUACGCUCAGCCUGCCCAUCAGUCUGAGGGUGAAAUGCUGUGCUAAGGUUCACCUGUGUCCCCAAUCCCUUCUGAAACGAUCUCCAAAAGUUGGUUGUAAAUUGAGCUCCUCUGUCUGAUAUAAUGGACGUGGGAACCCCAUGAAGUCUCACUAUCUCCCUGACAUAUAACCUCGCAUAAUCUUCAGCCAAAUAAGUAGUCCUGAAUGGAAGAAAAUGGGUCGAUUUCGUCAGCCUAUCUACAAUAACCCAUAUAGAGUCAUACUUCCGUUGAGUGCGAGGUAAGCCUGUAAUGAAGUCCAUUAAUCAUCUCCCAUUUCCAAGUCGGGAUCUCUAUCUCCUGUAAUAAUCCACCAGGUUUUUGAUGUUCGAUCUUGACUUGUUGACAAUUUGGGCACUGAUCAACAAACUCCGCUAUGUCCUUUUUCAUGCCAUCCCACCAAUAUAAGCAUCUGAGGUCAUGAUACAUUUUUGUUGACCCUGGGUGAAUAGAAUAACGGGCAGAGUGUGCCUCUCCCAUAACCUGCCGUCGUAGCCCCGCAGUAUCGGGUACACACAAUCUGCCUUCAUAUCGUAACACUCCUUCAGGUGUAACCUUAAAUGGGGCCUUUUCCUUUUGUAGAGCUGCAUCUCUAUACUGUGUCAGAAUAGGGUCCUUGUAUUUGUGUCUCUUUACCUCAUCUAUGAUUGAGGACUCAGCAAUCUCUCGAAUAGAAACUCCACUAUCUUCCGAAUUAGCUAGACGGACUCCAAGGCUGGAUAGCCGCUGAAUCUCCCGAACCAUAUCCCUCCCUUCUGUUUGUACAUCUGUCAAGCUACCCAUGGACUUACGGCUAAGAGCAUCUACUACAACAUUCGCUUUCCCUGGAUGAUAUAAAAUAUCAACAUCAUAAUCCUUUAGCAACUCUAACCACCGCAUCUGUCGUAAGUUCAGCUCCUUCUUUUUAAAGAUAUAUUGGAGACUCUUAUGAUCUGUAUAGAUGUCCACAUGGACACCAUAUAAAUAAUGUCUCCAUAUCUUCAAGGCAUGAACCACGACCGCUAACUCUAGAUCGUGAGUAGGAUAGUUCUUUUCAUGCUUCCUAAGUUGUCGGGAGGCAUAGGCUAUAAACUUUGCCAUGCUGCAUCAAUACACAUCCUAGCCCAACACCCGAAGCAUCACAAUAAAUAACAUAGCCGUCUGGUCCCUCCGGAAGAGUUAGGACUGGAGCUGUAGUCAAUUUGUCUUUCAAUAGCUGGAAGCUUCACUCACAAGCAUCUGUCCACUAGAACUUGGCUGCCUUUUGAGUUAGCCUUGUCAAAGGCGCUGAAAUUGAGGCAAACUUUUCUACGAAUCUCCUGUAAUAUCCUGCUAACCCCAAAAAGCUGCGUACCUCAGUAGGUGUCGUAGGUAUGGGCCAAGUCUUUACUUCCUCAAUCUUCUGCGUGUCUACCCGAAUACCAUCAGCUCCAAUAAUAUGCCACAAGAAUGCCACUGAAGUCAACCAGAACUCGCACUUAGAAAAUUUAGCAUACAACUUUUGGUGCUGAAGCACCCUAAGUACCGUCCUUAAAUGAUCUGCAUGCUCCUCUUUUGAACGUGAAUAGACCAGAAUAUCAUCUAUAAAUACAAUAACAAACAUAUCAAGGAAUGACUUAAAUACUCGAUUCAUUAAAUCCAUGAACACCGCUGGAGCAUUAGUCAGCCCAAAAGACAGCACUCUAAACUCAUAAUGCCCAUAUCGGGUCCGGAAUGUCGUCUUUGGAAUAUCUGCCACCCUUACCCGCACCUGAUGAUAACCUGACCGCAAGUCUAUCUUUGAAAGACACUUUGCACCCUGCAACUGGUCAAAUAGAUCGUCAAUCCUUGGGAGGGGAUACCUGUUCUUUAUUGUUACUUUGUUCAACUGCCUAUAAUCAAUGCACAUCCGCAGCGACCCAUCCUUCUUCCUCACAAACAGUAUCGGUGCUCCCCAAGGUGACGUACUAGGCCUGAUGAAGCCCUUUUCUAGCAAAUCCCUCAAUUGCUCUUUCAAUUCUUUCAACUCAACAGGUGCCAUUCUAUAAGGAGGUAUAGAUAUAGGCUGGGUAUCUGGCAGAACAUCUACAGUAAACUCUAUCUCUCGUUCUGGAGGAAGGCCUGGAAGUUCCUCGGAGAAUACAUCGGGAAAUUCAUUAAUUACCGGGACUGAUUGAAGAGUCGGUGCCUCUGUCUUUAUGUCAUGCACCCGAAUCAGAUGGUAAAUAUAGCCUUUUCUAACCAUCUUCCCGGCCUUGAGGUAUGAAAUGAACUUACCUUUCGGUGAUACUAUACUUCCCUUCCACUCUAUAAUCGGUUCCCCUGGAAAUUGAAAUCGAACUAUCUUUCCUCUGCAAUCAACAUUAGCAUAACAAGCAGCCAACCAAUCCAUGCCCAUGAUAAUAUCAAACUCAAUCAUAUUUAACUCUAUUAGAUCUGCUACGGUACGACGACUAUAUAUAACUACUGAACAAUUCCUAUAUACUCGCGUAGCUAUGACAAAAUCUCCUACAAGUGUAGCUACCUCAAAUGGUUCUAUCAACUCAGACUCUAUUCCGAUCCUACUAGCAACAAAGGGAGAUAUAUAUAAUAAGGUGGAACUUGGUCUAUCAAUGCAUACACACUUCGGGAGAAUAGUGAUAAUAUACAUGUGAUCACAUUAGGUGACGCCUCCUAAUCUUGCCUAUUAGUCAAAGCAUAUAUAAGGUUUGAGGGACCGCUAGAACUGGAAGCUCCACCAUGUCCUCUAUCACGGCCUGCUGGCGCCUGAAUACCCUACCCCGUAGGGCGCAUAGCCACAGAAGAAGAUGAACAAGCAACGGACCCUGUAGGCUGUGCCAUACCACCUGCACUACCUCUAAGGUGACACUCCCUCAUAGUAUGGCCCUGACGGCCGCAAGAAAAACACGCACCUGUAGCCCAACGACAUUCCCCAGGAUGGGACUUACCACAAUGAGAACACCGAGGCAAAGGUGGCCUCGACUGGCUCAAACCCUUGCCCAUCUGUGACCCUGACACCCUAGAGCUCUGACCAGCUCCCGAAUAUCCCAUACGAUCAAACCCCCUACCCAUGAAACGUGGGGGUGCACUCUGUGCUGGCUGGGAAGAAAAUCUAACAUGCUGCUGAGACUGCCCGCUUUGAAACUCGUCAGGAUAACCUGCUGAUCUAGCCCUCUUAUGUUGGCCUCUAUUAUAAUCUCUAUCUGGCUGACGUCCCCAGUGCCGAUCCUCUACCCCCUGUGCACAUGCCUGCACCCGAGCAAUGUCCACACCUGGCUGAAGAGUCACUGCCAUACAACCGUCAAUCAGAUAACGAUCCAAUCCUAUCACAUAACGAUGUACCCUGUCUGCCAUAUCAGCCACAAUAGUAGGCGCAUGCCUAGCCAAUAAAUCAAACUCGAGGCAGGAAGUGGCCCUGAAAAGCCUCCACAAAUUCAUCCCAUACCGCUGGAGGAGCACCCUCACCCCUAGAUAACUCCCAAGACUCAUACCAAUUAAUAGCUACAUCUCGCAAACGAUACGUAGCCAACUCAACAGACUCGGUCUCCGAAGCCGUGAUUAUCCUCAAUGUACGCGGCAUCUGAUGAAUAAACUCUUGCGGAUCAUCCUGGGGCCUUGACCCAAAGAACUCUGGAGGAUUACAACUUAAGAAGUUACGAGCCCUUAAGCUAUCAGAUCUGUCCGCAUGAUCAACUCCUAGUCCAUGCCUGCGAGCCUGAUCUGCCACUAAUCUAGUCAGCAAUUGAACCGCAUCUCUCAUGGCCCUAUCCUCCGCCCCUGACUGAGGAGCUGGAGGUUCAGAUGUUGGGGCCUUGGGGGCUGGUGGUAUCCCCUGAACUGGAGCUGCUGCUGCUCUUAGCUCUUCUGGCGGUGGGGGUGAAGCAGAGCUCUCCGACUGGAGCUUAAUACCAGGCAUAGACUGGGCACGGGCCCUACUAACUCUCCGGGUCUCAGUAGUACCUUCUGCUACCAAUUUUCCCUUCUGGGCGGCUGUCGCUUUCUUUGGAGGCAUAGCUGAAAACACAUGGAUUCGUUAGAAAGGGAUUAUCCUGUUAAUAUAGCUCUAUCGCACGAUCUAGAAUAAGAAGAAAGAAUGACAUCCUAAAUGUCCUGUAGCUUCCUGUUUAUAGAUGUGGUGCACAACACACCGAUAAACAAGACUCUACUAGACACGGUCUGUAGACACUUCCGAGGAAGAACCGCUCUGAUACCACUCUUUGUCACGACCCAACCCGAUGGGCCGUGACUAGUGCCCGUUUUGGACACCCACAUAUAAACCUGCUAAGUAUAACAACUGAAACUAAGACAAUAUGGAAUUUAAUCAAAUCAAGCCAACCCCAACGUCAUAUAUAUAUAAGAGGACCUGUCUCAUAAGGAGUCAUAACCAUUCAACCAUAACAGCAUACGCGAGCCGACAAGGCCACCACUACACAAUACACGAUGAUGUACGCAGCCGACAAGGCUGCCCCUGUACAAGCGGACAUCCCAAACAAACCAUGUCCAGACCAUUAUCUAAAACAUAUAUAUAUAACCCACAUAAUGUCCACAGACCUCUAAGAGUACAUUAGUGAAACUCGACGGGACAGGGCCCCGCCAUACCCAUAGACGAGCUAAAGACUACACAAAAGUUAUGUACCAAAACGACUGGGCUCCGGAACAGUGGAGCUCUCCCAAUCAGCAGAGUAGAUAUCCUAGGUGGGAGGAUCACCGAACUGUGCGUCUACACCUGCGGGCAUGAAACGCAGCCCCCCGAGGAAAGGGUGGUCAGUACGGACAAUGUACAGAGUAUGUAAAGCAUAAGGUAAAGAUGAAAGGAUACUAAUAUGGCAAGUCGAAACAAAAUAUUGCUACACAUAUACCCUUUAAGUGAAAAUCAUGCAUAUGUUUAACAUUUAAGGUGCCCAGCUUCCCUAGUAAGGGGCUCGGCAAAAUAAUCAUCACGUCAUCUCCGUCAUCAUCAUCAUCAUAACCAUCCUCAUCACCAAUCAUAUAUAUAAUAUACAUACCCAGCCCUCUAGUGAGGAACUCGGUGACAUAUGCAAGAAACUCCGCACGAAUAUUACCCGGCCCGGGACUCGGUGAAAUGAUAAAUGACUCUAUGCACGAGCAGAAUAUUAUGAGCAACCAUAUGCAAUUAAAAUCAUUUCUUAUAACUCAAUAGAACAAUCAACGUGAACCAGCAAGGAGUAUUACCAAAGAUUAAUGUUUUAUCAAGAUUAUGAACCUUUAAUACGAUAUGGAAACGUAAAAUCUCAAUGACUCUAAGAAGCAUUACCAUAGAUAUUAGAGAUCAUCAUAGCCUUAGACAUAGCCGAUAUAUAGAGGAAUAAUUGUGGAAGCAAGAAUAUACGUCACCUAGAUGCUCUAGAGGUAAGUAUCAAAUCUGUCCGUUAUUCGCUUAUUUUUAAAAGUCAUGCCAAGCAAAGAAAGAAGGGACAGCGUUACAUACCGUAUAAUCGAGCAGCACGUCCAAUAUUUACUACUCAAGCUAUUAAUCUAUAACAAGCAACAAUCGUGCCGCAAUUAGAUAAACAUCGUGCUUUACUUUCUUGUAAGCUAGCUAAUAAUCUAACGAAAAUUCGGCAGCACCUCCCCUAUUUUCCUUACUUUGUCCCAAUCCGACAACAAUCCAAAUUAUCCACAGCAAUACCAAUAACACAUAUAACCCAAAGAAUCAUAUUAAACAGCCCCCUCCCCAAAACAAUUCUAUCUCGGCAACCAUAACAGCGAAGCAACGACACACCGAGCGAUAACUCGUUUUAUAAUUUGCUACACAUCUACCUUAUUGUAUUCAUCCUUUGGAGUAUAUACUCAUAAUCACAUUCAACAUAUACAUAAUGCCAAAACAGAAUUUUCCUGCAGUUUGCUUUAAUCAAAACAGCCCAAGCACCAACAUGACACCACUAAUAAUCCGAUUAUGGUUUCCGUUCAUACUUAGCACAUUCAAUAACUAAAACAAACUUCCUAAGCUACUGGUCACGCCCCCUUCUUAAAAUUAAUGGAUAAUUAACAAGGGUAUUCUAAAGAAUUAACACACCAAACAAGGAGAUUACUAACCAAAUUAUUUGCAGCUGCUGGCCAAGAGUUGCAGGGUUGGUUUCUCCAUUUCCAUGGCUGCCUAAGACAAGUGGUGAAGAAGAAGAUGAUAUGCAGCAAUGCAUUUCACCACUUUAUUUAGCAUGGAGUGGAUUUAUCCACCUCAUUUAAUAGUAUGAAGUGGAGGCAGCCCCCCUCUACACCUGUCCACUAAGGCCAGCCCACAAUCUGAUCCCUUUUUAAUUUUUGCCUUGAGUGGUGGGGCCCACUGGAUUAAAUUAAUCCUAAUCAGCCACCAAUUAUGAGUGGUGGGGCCCAUUGGAUUAAAUCAAUCCAAAUUAGCCACUAAUUAAUCCCUCACUUAAAGUUAAUGGCACUUACAUUAGCCAACUCAUACUUAAUAUCACAUUUGGAAAUAACAUCCUUGCCUAAUAUUUCUUUACAUCUUCUAGAUCACGAUGCGCUCUAUGUAUAAAAAAAAUACGAGGCAUAACAGCUGCUGCUGCUCUAAGCUCCUCUGGUGGAAGCGGUGUAGCAAAGCUCUCCGACUGGAGCAUACUACAAGGCAUAGACUGGGCACGGGUCCUAGUAACUCUUUGGGUCUGGCUAGUACCUUCUACUACCGAUUUUCUGGGCGGCUGUCGCUUUCUUUUGAGGCAUAGCUGAAAACACACGGAUUCGUUAGAGAGGGAAUAUCCUGUUAAUAUAGCUCUAUAGCACGAUCUAGAAUAAGAAGAAAGGAUGACAUCCUAAAUGUCCUGUAGCUUUCUGUUUAUAGAUGUGGUGCGCAACACACCGAUAAACAAGACUCUACUAGACACGGUCUUUAAACACUUCCGAGGAAGAACCGCUCUGAUACCACUCUUUAUCACGACCCAACCCGAUGGGCCGUGACUAGUGCCCGUUUUGGACACCCACAUACAAACCAGCUUAGUAUAACCAACUGAAACUAAGACAAUAUGGAAUUUAAUCAAAUCAAGCCAACCCCAACGUCAUAUAUAUAUAUAAAGAGGACCUGUCUCAUAAGGAGUCAUAAUCAUUCAACCAUAACAACAUACGGGAGCCGACAAGGCCGCCACUAUCCAAAGCACAAUAACAUACGUAAGCCGACAACGCUGCCACUACACAAUACACAAUGAUGUACGCAGCCGACAAGGCCGCCCCUAUACAAGCGGACAUCCCAAACAAACCAUGUCUAGACCAUUAUCCAAAACAUAUAUAUACACCCCACAUAAUGUCCACAGACCUCUAAGAGUACAGUAGUUAAACUCGACGGGACGGGGCCCCGCCAUACGCAUAAACGAGCAAAAGACUACACAAAAAGUUAUGUACCAAAACGACUGGGCUCCAGAACAGUGGAGCUCUCCCAAUCAGCAGAGUAGAUAUCCUAGGCGGGAGGAUCACCGAACUGUGCAUCUACACCUGCGGGCAUGAAACACAGCCCCCCCGAGGAAAGGGGGGUCAGUAUGGACAAUGUACUGAGUAUGUAAAGCAUAAGGUAAAGAUGACAGGAUACCAAUAUGGCACGUCGAAACAAAAUAUCGCUACACAUGUACCCUUUUAAGUGAAAAUCAUGCAUAUCUUUAACAUAUAAGUUGCCCAGCUUCCCUAGUAAGGGGCUCGGCAAAAUAAUCAUCACGUCAUCUCCGUCAUCAUCAUCAUCAUAACCAUCCUCAUCACCAAACAUAUAUAUAAUAUACAUACCCGACCCUCUAGUGAGGGACUCGGUGACAUAUGCAAGAAACUCCGCACGAACAUUACCCGGCCCGGGACUCGGUGAAAUGAUAAAUGACUCUAAGCACGAGCAUAAUAUUAUGAGCAACCAUAUGCAAUUAAAAUCAUUUCUAUUAACUCAAUAGAACAAUCCACGUGAACCAGCAAGGAGUAUUACCAAAGAUUAACGUUUUAUCAAGAUUAUGAACCUUUAAUACGAUAUGGAAACGUAAAAUCUCAAUGACUCUAAGAAGCACUACCAUAGAUAUGAGAAAUCAUCAUAGCCUUAGACAUACCCGAUACAUAGAGGAAUAAUUGUGGAAGCAAGAAUAUACGUCACCUAGACGCCCUAGAGGUAAGUAUCAAACCUGUUCGUUAUUCGCUUAUUUUUAAAUUUCAUGCCAAAAAAAGAAAGAAGGGACAGCGUUACAUACCAUAUAGUCGAGCCGCACGUCCAAUAUUUACUGCUCAAGCUAUUAAUCUAUAACAAGUAACAAUCAUGCCGCAAUUCGAUAAACGUUGCGCUUUACUAUCUUGUAAGCUAGCUAAUAAUCUAACGAAAAUCCGGCAGCACUUCCCCUAUUUUCCUUACAUCGUCCCAUUCCUAAAAAAACCCAAAUUAUCCACAGCAAUACCAAUAACACAUAUAAUCCAACCAAUCAAAUUAAACAGCCCCCUCCCAAAAACAAUUCCGUCUCGGCAACCAUAGCAGCGAAGAAACGACACACCGAGCGAUAACUCAUUUUAUAAUUCGCAACACAUCUACCUUAUCGUACUCAUCCUUUGGAGUAUAUACUCAUAAUCACAUUUAACAUAUACAUAACGCCAAAAUAGAAUUUUCCCGCAGUUUGCUUUAAUCAAAACAGCCCAAGCACCAACACGACACCACUAAUAAUCCGAUUAUGGUUUUCGUUCAUACUUAGCACAUUCAAUAACUAAAACAAACUUCCUAAGCUACUGGUCACGCCCCCUUCUUAAUAUUAAUGGAUAAUUAACAAGGUAUUCUAAAGAAUUAACACACCAAGCAAGGAGAUUACUAACCAAAUUAUUUGCAGCUGCUGGCCAAGAGUUGCAGGGUUGGUUUCUCCAUUUCCAUGGUUUCCUAAGCCAAGUGGUGAAGAAGAUGAUAUGCAGCAACGCAAUUCACCACUUUAUUUAGUAUGGAGUGGAUUUAUCCACCUCAUUUAUAAUAUGAAGUGGAGGCAGCCCCCCCUCUACACGUGUCCACUAAGGCCAGCUCCCAAUCUGGUCCCUUUUUAAUUUUUGCCUUGAGAGGUGGGGCCCACUGGAUUAAAUUAAUCCUAAUCAGCCACUAAUUAAUCUCUCACUUAAAGUUAAUGGCACUUACAUUAGCCAAAUCAUACUUAAUAUCACAUUUGGAAUUAACAUCCUUGCCUAAUAUUUCUUUAAUCACUUGAAACUUAAAAUAAAAUCUCAUUCCCCGGACUUACGUCUACUAGAUCCUGACGCGCACUACGUAUAAAAAAAUACGAGGCAUAAUAGAAUGGAUUCUUUAAGUCCAAAUAUUUCCUAAGUUUUAUGUUACUGUAAAGUUUAGCAAUAAUGUACUUAUGUAAUAUGUUAUAAGGGUCGUGUCCCUAAUGUACUCUAAUGAUGUUGAGUCUAAGAUGGAAAUGAGACUUAGAGUUUUAAACUAUGUAUAUAUAUAUAUAUAUAUAUAUAUAUAUAUAUAUAUAUAUAUAUAUAUAUAUAUAUUGGAAGUGAUCUUCUAGCAUAUGAUGUGCUACGAAAUUUAUAAAUUUUUCACUAAAUUUCCCAUGACAAUGUGAUGAAUGAUAACUAUGGGCUUGUAUAAGACCUCCAAGAGGUCAAGUACGCCAUGUUACUUUUAGAUGGUGCUCCCCAGUCGUGACAAUCUAGUCUAGGAAUUCAAAUCCUUCCUUUAACGGUGAGCACACCCUUGCAUCUAAACUCGCAUCUUGUGGCUUACCAGACAUUGUUUUCUAUCUAAUCUCAUUAAUAUUCUCAUCCUCAAACUGUUUGGCCUUGAUCUCCUCAUUUAAUGUAGCCGUACUCUCAAUGCUAGCUAACAGCCACCGAUUUAUGAAAUGCCAAAAUGCAUGAACUUAAACUCCAAUGUUUGAAUAUCCGUAGACAAAGUAUGCUUGGAUACACUCAAGCAAUCUAGACGUCACGACCGGAGUCUAGAUCCUAGCCGAAAUCGGUGUUGUUGACCUCUCAGAGGUCGUAGACAAGCCUACAUACGUCAUCAUUACAUCAUCUAGAUAAAUUUUAGCGGAAAAUUUUAAUUUUUUGUUUAAUUGAAGUAUACCUAGACUUAAUAAUAGGAAAAAUUGUAUUUGAAUAAGAUCAUCUACAUAAUAUCUUAAUCGUUCACAACAACCAUCUAAUAACAAGAUACUCAAAUGAAUGAAAUAGUUCAUAACUGCAUUGAAUGUAGACUUGCCAAAAUGGAACCAAUACAAUGUUUGAAACAAAUGAGAAAGAAACGCUAGUGGAACAUCCUCCACUAGAUAAUGUCUACAUCUAAUCUAGAAUAUAAAAGAUAGGCAUCCUCGAAAGCAAGAGGGCCUACAAAGUCCGGAUGAAUGCUCCAUGUCAGGAUAACUUCAGCAUAGUCUCGUAAUGCUCUAGCAUUCACCUGCACCUGCACCUAAAAGUAGAGAGUUGUAUGGGAUUAUUACACACUUGUACUAAGUAUGGGUAUAUUCAAGCACACACCCAAGUACAUGCAUGAUUAAGAAGAGCUCUCUCCUAACGAUAUGAGUUAUGGAAAGUCAAGUUAGUGAACUUGCCAAGUCGGAUUAAGAAAGUGAUGCUAUGAGAGUAACAUGCAUCAUCAUACAUAUCAUUUUGCAAACAGAACAUAGCAUAUUGCACAUAUCAUAUCACAUAGUUCAUAUCAUUCUUUCAUAUGCCAUGAGACCUUGGAAUCAUGGACUUAACAUUAAGACUUCCCAAAAUGAGGGCUCAACAUAUGGGACCUCAAUAAGAGAGCCUCCUUUAGCAAACACAGAGUCUGCUUCAUUCAUUCAUAUUUACUUCAUUUUCAUUCAUUCAUAUACUAGUAUAAACACCAACUAAACCUAAGAUGUAGUUUAAGACAUUCAUCGGGUUCCCUGUGCAAUGACCAAGAAUAACCUAGUGUCAUUACUUAAGUCUAGCUCACCUCUUGAUUAUCCUAUCCUAACACCUUUGGUAUUGUUUAUUUCAUUAUGUGCAUUAUUUUAUUAGGUGGAGACUUUGUCAAACUAGGACUCCCCAUUAUUUAUUAUUAUUAUUAUUGUGAUUAUGAUUAUUUUAUUAAAUAUCUGAUUUUGCUGUAAUUAAAUCAGUAAAUUAAUAUUAAUUACUUUAACUAGUUCACUAAAUACAAUAAAUCAAUUAAAUCAUUGCUUCCACGAAGGCUCAAACCCGGGUGGAGCAUGAUUUUGCUUAAAGGGUCAAUUUCGGCCACCUCUACCCAAAUUGCCCCUUAACUAUAUUAAUUAAUUAAUUAAUUAGGAUAAUUACAAUACUAUCCUUAGCCUGGAAAAGACCAUUUUUCUUCUAGACCCUCCAAACUUAAGAUUACCCCUUUUUAAGUUUGGUUAAGACUCAUCCGGGUAAAUCUUAAUAUUCGCUGCCCUACAUGGUUGGACCCAACCUUUCCUAGAUCAAAUAACUCACCAAGUUAGUUGGCUUGGUUGUUGCAGAGGUUCACAGGUCGGGUUCUACGCGCACAAUCUGUGUGAACCCGGUCUAAUCUAGGCAUUCUAGAUACGUUAGAAAUUACUUAGCACAGUCAUUUUGAGGGUUGUUACAUUACCCCCCCCCCCUCCUAGAAACAUUUAUCCACGAAUGACACUACACAUUAUUUUAAAAUAAAGAGGGUGAUUUUCGAAAAUAUGUUAACAUACUUGAGACUUUACUCUUUGUGAAUUUCUGUUCACACUUACUCUGGAUAGUGCAUAUUACUCAAGCUUAUUUGAAGCUUCAUAUUUGAGAUUGAGGAACUUCCUUCUCAAUCGCACUUAACUUGAUGCACCUCACCACUCAUAAAACACACAAAAGAAAUCAUGACCACACUAUACAAAAACAGCAACAUGACAUGCAAACAUUAAUUCAUUUUAACUCACAUAGUGCAAUUAUUAUAUAUACAAUUUUGGACUUACAACAUCUUGUUGGCCUUAAGAUUUGAAAUUAUAUGGCUUUGUUUGAUUGAUCCACGCCCUGCCCAUUUAUACUCUAUCUCAUUUUGAAACUGAGACCUCACUCCCAUGGUUGAUAGUCUAUGGUAGCAUAACACUUAUGGAGAAAAUCCAUACCUAAACUAUUAAAUGCUUUUUUUAUUAUAGAAUAUCUGAUUUACAUAUUAGUAGGUUGGUGCACAUCCUUGAAACUUACUAGCAGCUUCGCAUUAAUAUCUAAUUUCUCCUUCCCUUUUUCUCGACCUCUCAUAUAAGGACAGUCCUCUAUCAUAUGACCCAGUUUUCUAGAAUUGUAACAAGCGUUCGAGCCCCUCCUACACUCUCCUCCAUGAAGUUUGUCACACUUCCUACAAGGUGGCCUCUCUUGAGGUGUAUCUACUUUACUGUUUCUCUUAACUCUAGGCUCAGAAUCCCUCUCAAAGCGAUCCUUGGACGAACUUGACUCCCUUUGGUGGGAGAGUCCCUUCUUAGACCUGGGCUUAUCCCUGAUUUAAGUACUACUCUUCCUUGAAAAAUUAUUCUCAACUUGCGUUGACCUGUUCCUUGCCCUAGUAUGCUUCCUCUUCCUACUUUCCUCCACUUGUUGGACAUGGACCAUAAGACUGGAAAGACCUAUGCUAGCAUGCAACAUAGCUACCCUACACUCCUCCUCGAGAUUCUCAGCAAUCUUAGAUCCAGUGUAAAUGGGAGGAUUUAUCCUCGUGAAGUCCUUUAACCUACUAGCCAUGGUGCUAGCAGGUGGGUUCUUUCUGGGAACACCUUGUUGCUCUGCUUGGGCUGUCAUAGCCUGAGCUUGUAAGGUGAUGGAUUGGGCCAUCUGUACCAGGGCUAUCCUUACUUCUCCAUCUGUCAACCUAACUAUGUUAACAAGCAUCUCCAUUUCAGCAGUUGGGGCCUAGGGAGGAACUUGGUUACCCCCAACAGCUGCUUCUCCUCUUCCCUGACCAGUGUUCCUCCUUGUGUUCAUUUUCUAAAAAAAUAGAAUUGAUGCUAGAAAUGCUCAUAACACCAAGGAAUCAGACAUUAGAAAAGCACGUAAGAUCAGGAGAAGGGAAAAUUUCCUACGCGUCAUGUAGUCUCUAAUUCAGGAUAGUGGUGCACUUCACUACCAUGACUUAGAAUCUACUUGAUGUGGUUGAUGUGAACUUAUUAUCCUCAGAAUUUAACCUAGUGCUCUAAUACAAACUUUGUCACAACCUUAGUCUAUACCCUAGCCGAAACCGACAUCGUUGACCUCUCAGAGGUCGCAGACAAGCCUACAUAUGUCAUCGUUACAUCAUCUAGAUCAAUUUUAGCGGAAAAUUUUAACUUUUUAUUUUGUUAAAAUAUACUUGGACUUCAUAAGAGGAAACAUUGUAUUCGAAUAAGAUCAUCUACACAACUUCAUAAUCAUUCACAACAACUAUCUCAUCAUACCAAGAUACUCAAAUGAAUGAAGUAGUUCAUAACUGCAUUAAAUGUAUACUUGCCAAAAUGGAACCGAUACAAUGUCUGAAACAAGUGAGAAAGAAAUGCUAGUGGAACAUCCUCCACUAACUCAUGCCUACAUCUAAGCUAGAAUAUAAAAGAUAGGCAUCCUCGAAAGCAAGAGGGUCUACCAAGUCCGGAUGAAUGCUCCACGUCCAGAUAAAUUCUGGUAGUCUCAUAAUGCUUUAGCGUUCACCUUCACCUGCACCUAAAAGUAGAGAGUUGUAUGGGAUCAGUACACACUUGUACUAAGUGUGGGUAUAUGCAAGCACACACAAAGGACAUGCAUGAUUAAGAAGAGCUCUCUCCUAACGAUAUGAGUUAUGGUAAGUCAAGUCAGUGGAAUUUCCAAAUCGAAUUAGGAAAGUGAUGCUAUGAGAGUAACAUGCAUCAUCAUACAUAUCAUUUUGCAAACAGUACAUAACAUAUUGCACAUAUCAUAUCACAUAGUUGAUAUUAUUCCUUCAUAUGCCAUGAGACCUUAGAAUCAUGGACUUGACAUUAAGACUUCCCAAAAUGAGGGCUCAACAUAUGGGACCUCAACUAGGGAUCCUCCUUUAGAAAACACAGGGUCUGCUUCAUUCAUUCAUAUGUACUUCAUUUUAAUUCAUUAUACACUAGUGUAAACACCAUCUAAACCUAAGAUGUAGUUUAAGACUUUCAUCAGGUUCCCUGUGCAAUGACCAAGAAUAACCUACUGUCAUUUCUAGCUCACCUAUUGAUUAUCCUAUCCUAACACCUUUGGUAUUGUUUAUUUCAUUAUGUGCAUUAUUUUAGGCUGGCCAUAUUCUUCUUUGGGAACUUUAACCUUAACUGACAUAGAUCAUGUGAGCAUCAUGAAAUCCACCAUUUAACCGCACACCUAAAAGAGGUGGAAUCACCGGAUAAAGUGAACCAAAACAUGCUAGCGUAUAUAGGAAAUCGAUCUCUGCUAGAACUCUAUAUUGUCAGUAUAGUUUCUACGACUAGGAGAUAUAAGGAGACCCAUACCCGUAUGGACGGACAGUCUCAUAUCAUGAGAAUUACACGAACCUCUGCCUUCCUGAAAGAAGGAGUCGUGACUCAUAGCUAGGCUGUCGGUGCUCAGUAUAAAGUUCCAUUACAUUCAUCUCAUAUAUCAUAGAAGUUGGCUUCUAGCAUGAGGAAUCAUAGCUCAUUAGAUGAUUUCUCAUCACAUCAUUAUGUAUUAAGUGUGAAUUGUCCUUACACUUACAUAUAGAGUGUGACUGAAACCUGUCUCUUAAUAUUCAUCACUCUCUAAGGUGAGUACUUUUAGUGAACUUAUAUAGGUGUAGGUACAACUUGUCCCACUUGCACCAACCUCAUAUUAUUGUUCCACCUUGUUCUCUCUUAACAUCUUUUCGUUUCAUCUUUACUCACCUAUUAUAAUUUGUUCAUCAUAUAACAUACAUAUGAUCUCUUGAAGUUUACAUUGAGGGACAUUGAUUCUAGGCGUAGUUACAACUUGUCUCCCUUGUACUAGCCUAUCCUCAUGUAGCCACUCUUUCUUUUCUUAUUAAUCGUUUAGUAUAUAUAUACUCUCUUAGAAAUUUCAUUUAGUGACACUGAUUUUUAGGCGUAUGUGCAACUUAUCUCACUUGCACUAGCCUAUAGUCAUGUAGUCACUCUUUUAUUUACAUAUUAACUAUGAAUUCAUUCUUAACACCUUCUUUUGGUGUGUUGACACUCAAUUUUGACCGACCUUUAACUAUUUUUAGGAAUGCUAUUCGAUGUAGUGCGUAUUUUAAAAAAAUAUUUUAAGUUUAGAGUUUUAGUCGAUUUUGCAUGAAAUUAUAUAUUUUAGUAUGUUUACUUUAUAAAAUUAUUGUUAAAAUAUUUUAAAAUUAUUGAUGAAUUUUGAAUGUUUUAAAAUUUAAGCAAUUUUCGAUUAUGUAAAAAUAUUUAUAAAAUUUGUAUUAUUUUAAUUGGAUGAUAUUUCCUCAAUUUUUCUCAAAAAAAAAUUAAAUUCUAGCCUAUUUUAUUUGAAUUUCUUUCAAUUUCAGCAUAUUCAAUUGCAAUCUUAUUUCAAUCAUAGACAUCUUUUCAUUUUAAUUCUAGCCAAUAGUUAUUUCAAUUUUGGCCAUACAAUCUAAUUUUAAAAUAUUACCUUUAAUGGUACUUGCAUUUUUCAGAUUUGGGGGACCCUAGGUCGAUCCCCAUCACCCCCAUAAUAUUUUCUUUCUUUUCCCUCCUCUCUUUCUUGUUUAAGGCAAAGAGAUUGGGGAUCAAUCCCCCACAAACUCAUUCUUUUUCUCUUAAAUUUUUUCUCUUAACUUUAUCCAAGAGGUUGUGAGUCAAUUCCCACUCACCUAAUUUUAUUUUUCUCUUUUAUAUUUCUCCUAACUAUCUCAUAUAUUCAAGAGGUUGUGGGUUCAAUCUCCACUCACCUCAUUUAUUUUCUUUCAUUUUUCUCUCCUAAUUCUCUCCUCUAUUCAAGAGGUUGUGGGUUCAAUCCCCACUCACCACAUUUUAUUUUUCUCCUUUAUUUUUCUCCUAACUCUCUCAUCUAUUCAAGAGGUGGUGGGUUCAAUCCCCACUCACCACAUUUUAUUUUAUUUUCAUUUUUCUCAUUAACUUUUUAUGUAAUUUGCAUUUGGUGAGGUCUUGGGUUCAAUUCCAAUGACCUCACAAUUUUUAAAAAUUUUAAAGCAUAGCUCACUUUUCAAAGUUUUGCUCGAAAUUUUGUCUCUUUCAAUGCAUCUUUAUCUCAAGUUUUAAUGUUGAUGAUUCUUGGAGUAAUUCGGGUGACAUUUUUCCAGCAACAUUACCCUCAUAUGAACAUCGAACUUUUAACAUAUACAUAUACGAAAACACAACAUUUACAGCACACAAAUUUUAGGCAGCAACAUAGUUAAUUUACAGCGCACCCAUUCUCAAAUAAUUAACGUAAACCACUUUUCUGGAAUACAUCUUUCAUUCCUUACAUAAUUUCCAAAUACACAUUCAAUACAUAAUAACAACCAGACCUAAAAUUAUCUACCAGAAGAUUUACUAACGCAUACUUUGAAUCUUUUAAAUGAUCUAAUGACAGGGGCAUGCAACGGGGACAACCUUAGUUUUUCAAUUGCGAUUAAACUGAACCUUAAGGGUCUCUUGGGAAAGGGUCCAAGAGAGAAGAAAACCCAUACCUUAAUGUCAUUCAACACUUGUUUCAAUGCUUCCUUUUCCCAUGACACCACUGCCUCACCACCGAAAUGGAAAACCCAAUCCGUCCAGAAGAAUGUUGUUGAUUUUUGUGUUUAGCUUAGAUUUUCGUUUGAGUUUUUGUGUGUAAGUUCUUCAAGAGUGAAGAACUAUUAUUUUCAGUUCUUUUUCUGAUGAAAAAAGUGAGAAUGAGAGUGAGAAACGUGUGAUUAGGAUUAGGAGAGUUAGGUGGAGACUUGGUCAAACUUGGACUCCCCAUUAUUUUUAUUUAUUUAUUAUUAUUAUUAUUAUUAUUAUUAUUAUUUUAUUAAAAAUCUGAUUUUACAAUAAAUUAAUUAAAUCAUUGCUUCCACCAAGGCUCGAACCCGGGUGGAGCAAGAUUUUGCUUGAAGGGUCAAUUUCAGCCACCUCUACCCAAAUUUCCCCUUAACCAUAUUAAUUAAUUAAUUAAUUAGGAUAAUUACAAUACUACCCUUAGCUUGGAAAAGAUCAUUUUACCCCUAGACCCUCCAAACUUAAUAUUACCCCUUUUUAAGUUUUGUUAAGACUCAUCCGGGUAAAUCUUCAUAUUCGGGUGUCCUACAUUGCUGGACCCAACUUUUCCUAGCUCAACUAACUCACCAAGUUAGUUGGCUUGGCUGUUGCAGAGGUUCAAAAGUCUGGUUCUACGCGCAUCAAUCCAUAUGAAACCAGUCUAAUCUAGGCAUUCUUGAUACAUUUGACAUCACUUGGCGUAGUCAUUUUUAGGGUUGUUACACUAGUCUACCCAUUCUCACUAUCUUCUAACUUAGUGCAUCUGCAACUACAUUAGCCUUACGUAGAUGAAAUAUGAUUGUCACGUCAUAAUCAUUGUGUAACUCCAUCAUCCUUCAUUGUCUAAAAGAUCCCUUAAGUGAAAACAUGUUGGAGAUUGUGAUGAGAAGUAAAAACAUUACACUUGACACCAUAAACGUAAUGCUGCAAGAUCUUAAAAAGAAAACAAUACUACACUUGACACAAUAGAGGUAUUAAUGCCAACAAGUCUUCAGAGCACACACUAGUGUUGCCACUUAAAUCAUGUGUUGGGUAUUUUCUCUCAUUCACCUUAAAGUACCUCGACGCAUAAUCUGUAAAAUUCUUAUCCUUCACUAAACACAACACCCAAACCCAAAGGGAAAGCAUAAGAAUAAACAUUAAAAUCCUUACAUUUUACUCAUAGUGCUAGAAUAUGUGUUGUGGUAAAAUGAAACUUGAGCUUUUAAAAGGUCUCAUCAAAUUUUUUGGUUCAUUUGAAAGGUACUUCCUUUUUGGUCAACCUUGUAUGAUGUGUGUCAAUAGAAGCAAAGUCAUUGAUGAAUUUUCAAGAGUAGUUAGAGAGCCUAAAAGGAUACUCAAUUCAAGCACAACUUUUGUUUCCCAAGAAAACGUAGAAAAAUACAAAGAUGGUCAACAUGCACCUUGUUACUUGUCAAAUGAACUAAAAUCUCAACAAUAAAUACUAUGAUAAUCGAAUCAAGAAAUGGUUUGAACACACCAUUAGUCAAACUCAUGAAAACUACAGAAGCAUUUGUCAACUCAAACGAUAUAACUAAAAACUCGUAGUCCCCAUAGUUGGUCCUAAAUGUCAUCUUCAGUACAUAUUAAGGCCUAAUCUUUAACUGAUGAUAGCCAAAACUUAUAUCAGUAUUAGCGAAAACCGAUGUACCUUGUAACUGGUUGACAAGAUUAUCCAUCCGAGGCAAUUAGUACUUGUUUCAAAUUUUCACCCUAUUCAAUUGCCGGUAAUCUAUGUAUAUCCUCAUAAUACAAUCCUUUUUCAUAACAAACAAAAUAGGAGCACCUCAGGCAGAUGCACUAGGAAAGAUGAAACUCUUAUCAAUAAGUUCUAUGGUUUGAGUCUUAAUCACUCUCAGCUCUACCGAGGACAUGCAAUACAAAGGGAUGAAAAUGGAGUGAGUAACAAGUUCCUAAUCAAUGCAAAAAUAUAUAACCCAUUCGGAGGCAUACAAGGAAAAUUGGUAAGGAACAUUUUUCUAAAUUAUGACAUCAGAAUAAUGGACUCUUAGAGGUAGACUCAACCUUCACAUCUCAAAUAUGAGCCAAAUAUGCAAAAAAAAUCGUACAAGUUUCCUAGACCGAAUGGGGGAUAUGACCUUAUCUAGUUUAGGCUUGUACACCCCUUCGCACUCUAACUUUUUCCUAAUGGGGAUCUCUAGAGUUACAUACUGUUACAAUUCACUACUAAUUAAUAGGGGGAAAACCAAGUCAUGCUAUCAAAGACAGUCAUAUCCGAAAUAACCAUAUCAUCCCAAGUCUUAAAACACAUAAACAAGAUUGGAAAAGCAUGAUAGACAUUGGUGACGAGAGACUCUCCAACUUGGGUAGAAACAUGGAUGGAGGCAUUAAGCCUAUAAGAUAUCAUAUGAAAUCCCAAGGAAAUCUAAACAGACACAUAAAAAUAAGUAGAACCAGGAUAAAAUAACACAUUAGCCAUCCGUCACUGACAAGAAUAGUACAUGUGAUGAAUGCAUCAGACGACUCCACCACGGUCUUGCCUAAAAAGGCAUAAUGCUGAGCCUUGUCAUCAUGAAAGGCAACUUCCAUGCAUGGCUGCAUUGUACUUGAGUAUGUGUUACCAUUUCCCCAACCUCCACGGCCUCGCUGAUUUCCUCCUUGCCCAUCUUGCGAAUGUCCUCGACCAUUAUUAACAUUUACCACGGGCACCACUAGUAUAGUUUGUUGUUGCACGAAAUCCACACGCACGAUUGGGGAAAAAUCUCUUCUCAUGUGCCCAAGCUCCCCACAAUUGUUGAAAGAACAAUCAAAGAUGGCCUUCCUCUAGCAAAAGACGCGACUCCUUGGUUAUCCUUUAUAAUACUUUAAGGUGGGGUUCCCGAGUAAUUAGUUGUAGAAGCCAGCAUAGCAGACUAAUUUUGUCGGGCUUCAUGUAUUGUCCCCCUAGAACCUCAGCAGUGGAAACCUUGGAAGUUAUUUAUUCUCUUAGAUUUAUUAGACAACUCCUUAGCCUUCCCAUCGCGCCUCACCCCUUCAACUUUCUUCACAAAAUUUGCUGACUCAUUAAAAAAUUUAUGCAGAAGUCACGUGCACAGACAAUACAUGUAACUCAGAGUUUAGUCCCUUAGUAAGUAGACAGAUCCUCUAUUCAUCAGUAGUCACCAACAUAAAACAUGAAACCUAACCUCAUAAGAAUCCUUAAAAUAUCACCUUGAUUCAAAGCCAUGAACUCAUCUUUUUUAUGAUAUCACAAGAUUUGUGGCACAUAGUUCUCCAAAAGUGAAGCAUGAAACUAGGUCCAAGUGAGUGGGGGUAAAGCUGAUGGACAAUACCCAAAUUAUGCAGCCACUCAUAAUAAUUUAAAAUGAACUCAUAAGCGUCCUUAACCAGACCCAACAAAGGACAGAAGAAAGCAUUAGUACAUACAUUUCAGCACUUCUUGCGGACAAUGAUAGCAAUAGGGGGAUUGGCGGGAGCUUGAGUUGCUUAAAUUGUGGGAAGAACUUAAGGACCAACAAUUUUUUUAAGGAACGACAUAAUCUAUUUAGCUAACACUGGGUCUAAGGGAGGAAUACUUCUAGUCUCAACCUACACAUCUUCCCCUUUCUAAAAUGUCCUCAUCAUUCUUAACCAAUUGGAAUCAAGUCAUAGCAAAAAAGGAGACAAGAGAAAAACAGAGAGAUUUCCUUAAGUCUUAUAGCCUCUCGAAGAAAAGUACAUAUGUCUUUGUACCAUUCCACAAUAUUUUGCUAGAAUCGUUAUGGUACACCGAGAUGAAUGAACGUAGGACUUUGAUAUCAACUUUGUCGUGACCCAUUUUGUCAUGAUUGGUACCAACACUAAACCUUUGGUGGGAUAACCAUUAAUACUAAUUAGCUAAACCAAUAACUAAACACUUCAAGAUACGAAUGUAGGUUUAAAUGAAAGUAUCAAAUAGAGCUCCCAUAAAGUUUAAACGUUCAAAUAAAAUAUACCAACUAAUGUGGAGGAAUAAACCCUAGAACUUGAAAGUCAAUGAACCAAAACAUCUAAAGUUCAACAAGUCAAAAUUAAUAGGUGCAACAAAAUUAAACAUACAUAUAUCUAACUAGAAAGUCCGAGUCCAAAAGAAUGGACUAAACCAUAGAGAACUCAUGGGAGACUAGAAGAUUUGGCUCACCCUUGAAUUUGAUUGAUUAGUGAUCUCUUAGAUGAGGUAUGUCAAUAACCUUCUGAAGAUGCCUUGUACUCAACAAGGAAAGAGAAAGUCCAGUAUCAAUACAAACCACAAUGUACUAGUAGGAUCACACAGCUAUCCUAGUAAGUGAAAGAUAUACAAGCAGUCACAACAUAGUAAAUACACAAAUACCGAACCUAUACAAUAUCAAUUAUCAUUCAGGACCUAUGCACCAUUCGACAUUUUCGAUGUCAAGUAAUUACACAUAUACGAAAAGGGAACGGUCCUCCCAUGGAACCCACAACCAAAUUGAUAGUAUACCAGAAUGUGCCACCCCAUCCCAAUUAGUGUGUCGGACGUGACACUUUGUCCCAUACGUGCACUGAUACAUGACAAUUGAUACAAGUUAGCAUGCUGGAACGUAACAUCUGAUUCAUUCAACAAGCAACAAUCACAAUGUACAUUCUCGUAGUCAUACAAUAAAGUGUUCAUUCAUGGCAUACAAUAAUAUUUUUAUACUCAUUCAUAUUUGAUGAUCAAAAGUGGAAAAUUUGCAUGUAUACAUGCAUUAUAAUGAAGCAAAUACUCACAUACAUUACACAAACAUGAAAUCAAACCAUCACCUACCUUGAAAUCAAGCUUGAAUCCUCCUAAGAUGUUUGAUUUUUCCCUUUCCGGAUUCUUUCAACUCGUUCUAGGUUUACAAACAAAUAAUUCAAUACCGGGAUCAAUACUUGAGGCCUAAUUACCCGGAUUAUGACAAACCCAAUAACUUAAGAUCGAAAUUAUGAUCCUAAGGUGCAGUUAGAGCUUUUUCCACCAUCAAAAUUAGUUCAAAACCCUCACUAACAAUAUAUGAUCAAGAUUCAAAAAAUUUAUUAGGAGAGUAGAAUCCUUACCUUCCUCCCCCCCCCCCCCCAAAAAAAAGUAGUGGAAAAGAUUAAAAAAUCACUUUAAGUCAUCUCCUAGCUCAUAAUAAGGAGAAAUGCAGAAUAAUGGCAUUUUUGGGGUUUAUUUCCAAGGAAGUUACAACAAGCCCGCUAUGGCAUCCCACAAACCAUCACAGCGGCCUCGCCAUGAUGGGAAUAUUCCCGCAGUAGUAUCUUGCACAGAAAUGCCUUCCAUUACAAAUAUACAUUUAGAUUUUUUAUGUUUAUAUUCUGAGUUAGAAUUUGUAUUUCUUGCUAAAUAUGACAAUUAUUUUUUGAUAUAUGUGUCAUCCCUAUUUGAUUAUGUGUAUUUUUGUUCUUCUUGUAAGAAUUGCAGUUGUAGGCAUUGAAAAUUUGUUAGACUCUCAAAGACAUGUUCAAUUCUAGUGAGGAUUCUGCAAGAUGAAUUUUAUCCUAACUAGGAUUAUUGUAGGCUAACCAACCCUAACCACUAGCUCAAAGGGUACUAUAUUCCCAUUAAAAGGGAUCUCAAAUAUUUCAUAAAAUUAAUGGAAUAUUCAUAUAGAGGUCCAACCAUAAUUGUUCUAGUUCGAUCAAUAUGCCACUAAUGGUCCUCGAAUUAUGGAAAGGGUCUAGAAUUUAAGGGAGGAAAAAAAUGUGCCUACAAUAUUUAUAAAAAAAAAUCAAUUCUUCUUAUAUUAUUGUGAUUGAAAUUUAUUUUUUGUCACUUAAAAAUUUAUUCCUAACAAAUUGACAUGCCCAGUGGGAACAAAUGUACUCUUUAUCUCUUCUCUAAUAAAUCAAAUCUACUAUAAAAAUUCCCAUCGAGAAAAUAAUAAUAAAGAACGAAAAACUAUGCAACAAUCCUUUUAAUUAUUUAAAGUGCAAAUUUUACAAUCUCUAUGAUUCCUAUGAAUUUUCCAUUACAAAUACAUAUGGCCUCUUGAGCUUGAUCUCUAAUUUUCUUGAACGUGAACUUUAUGGUUGAUCUUGGAUUCAAGGAUUUUGGAGAUUGUCCUUGAAUAUUUGACUUUAACUUAUCGUGAUCUUGAACUUUAUCUUGAUCUUGAUUUCUAGUUGAAUACAAGAGCUUUGAGCUUGGUAUUAAAUCCGGUGAUCUUUAUCUUGAUCGUUCUUGAUCCUGGUCUUCUUUAACUUGAACCCUUGAGUCCUUGAAUUUUCAGUUCUUGAAUUUGAAUUCUUGAACUAUUAAACUUUUAGAUUGUAUAGAAAUUUGUUGCUUUUGAUCAACGAGUUAUCUCUAACUUUAUGUUAGAAUUAAUUGUUCCUUUUCUGAACUAUGAGGACACUUAGUCAUAUUUAUAGAAUAGAGGAUUGGUGAUAGAAAUAGAAUUCCCUUCGGCUAAUCAAAUUUAAGUGACAUGGCAUAUCGAGUUUAUGAAGAAGACUUGAACUGAAUCCAUAUUUUUUGGAUUUAAGUAAUUAACUCAAUUAUAUUAAUCCGUAAUAUUUAUUUGAACUAAUAAACUCAUAUUUAAGAUAAUCUUAAUCUAUUUAUAAAUUUAUAUAUAAUAAAUUUUAAUUGAUUACAAAUGUCACAUGCUUCAUGUCUUUUCGAGAUAUUGUAUAUUUCAAAGACUAGGCUUGAAGAAUUUGAAGAUUUAAAGUUGCACACAUAAAUAAUUUUGAAGACUUCGUCUUGCAGACUUGUUGAAUUUGAAGAUAUCAACUUGUAGGCUUGAAGAAUUUGAAGACUUUAAAACUUGUAUAUUGAAGAAUUUGAAGACUUCAACUUGAAGUCUUUAUAAAUUUGUAGACUUUAACUUGCAAACUUGAAGAAUUAUAAGACUUCAACUUGGGACCUUGGAGAAGUUGAAGACUUCAACUUGUAGGCUUGAAGAGUUUGAUGACUUCAACUAGCAAAUUUAUAGAUCUGCACAGUUCAAAUUUUGAAACAACUCAUAUUCACAUGAGUUUUCCCCCAUUGAAUUACCACUAUUUGGUGCAUGUCUGAAGUUUAAUGAAAGAUUACUCACAUUUUUUAAUUUUCACUAGACAGAUCAAGUGAGAACAUUUCAUUUUUUACACUCAUGCAACCAAACAUAAAAUAUAGUUCUAAGGGAGUACAUACCUCUGUAAAGAGGAUAAAACCACAAUGUAGUUCUGGAGAGUAUUUUGUGUGUCGUAUAAAUUUUAUACUCUUGUCGGCCAUGAAUGACAUUCCAUUUAUGUCGUACCGUAAGGAGUAUUUUUUUAUUGAAGCUUUACUCGUUUGAAGAGCUUUAUGAUAUAAAGUUUAGGCAAACACUUGAAGAAAUAUUUCAACUCAAAGAUUUAACUCAAAUUUGAAAAACUUUGUGAUAUACAUCUUAAAAUCAUGUUUAUAGGAGUACUAAAACUAUAAAUUUAACUCAAAUUUUAAGAGCUUUAUGAUUUACAGUUUAAGCUCGUGUUACAAGGAGCAUUUCUAAUUGUAGAUUUAACUCAAAUUUGAAGAACUUCGAGGCAUUCAGUCUAAGCCCAUGUUUCAAGGAGCACUUAAACUUGAACAUUUCACUCAAAUUUGAAGAUCUUUCAAGAACUUAAUGAUUUACCUCAAAUUUGAAGAGCUUUGUGAUAUAAAGUUUACGCUCGUGUGUCUAAGAGCAUUAUAAGUUUCAGUUUAGGCUCAUGUGAUGAGAAACAUAAUUACUUGAAAUUUAAGCUCUUGUGAUAAGGAGCAUUAUUACUUGUACUUUAAGAUCAUACGAUAGGGAGCAUUGUAACUUGCAGUUUAAGGUCAUGCAUUAAGGAGCGUUUUAACUUGAAGUUUAAUCUCAUGCAUUAAGAACGUUGUAACUUGCAGUUUAUCUCAUGUGAUGAGAAGCAUUGUAACUUGCAGUAUAAGCUAAUGCGUUACUGAGCAUCAUAACUGGCAAUUUAAGCACAUGCAUCAAAGAGCGUCAUAACAUUCCGUUUAAGCUCAUGCAUUAUGGAACGUCUAGAUAUAUAUACUCUUCAAAGUUAUCUUUAGAUGCAGACUUGUCCCCACUUUAAAUUUCUUCUAUAUCUUCAUCUUUAUGAGUUUCAUAGACAAGAGAUUGUUGAUAUUCUUUUAAAGUCAUUCUUAAUUCUAUGUCAUGUGCACGACCAUUCAACUCUUCAAAUGUAUUGAGAUUUAAUCCUGGAAAAAUAUAGUGAAGACCCCAAUUAAUUUCUUGGAUGCGCAAGUCAAUGCUAGACACGUAGUCAAUCUUUCCAGUUCAGGCUCGGACUGCUCCAGCGGUUAAUAGAGUCAACAAAUACAUUACUUUAACCGUGAAUAUCUUUAAUAAGUGUAAUUACAUGUUCCCAUAAAUAUAGAAAAGUCAACAUGAAAAAAUUUUGGGCCAAAAAACCUUUUCGUACUACUUAGAAUUUUCCAACCUAGUGAAGAUUUGAAGAAAAUUGGACUGUGUAAGGUUAAGGGGAAUAUGGUAAAUGUUGGGUGAUGUAAUUAUGAUUCUGAUCACAUGAUAGAUAUCUAAGGCAUUAAGGAAUCGUUACGAUUUUACGUAAUUGAAUUCGGGCGAGUAGAACUCUCAAAAUUGAUCUUAACGUGAACGGGUAGUUUCUGAGUGUAAUUGGUUGAAGUUGUAUUGUUAAAUGAGGGUUUUAAAAUUAUAUAUUUACCUCAUCGUUUCUGUGCAAUAUGCUAAUGCGAGAUUUUCCUGCCAAGGCUUGGAUGGUGUAAAAUGGUGAGGGCCUCCAUAGUGGGACAGUCACUACAUAAGUCGGAAAUAAACUGCAAAAAUAUUUUAUUCUGCACUUUUAAACUUUGAGUGCUAAGAGAUGACCUCAGGUGCUUUCUUGAUAGUUUUCACCAUUCAUAAGGCUAAAGGUAAGGUUUUAACACAUUGAAUCCAUUAUUUUUAUUCGUAAAAGUAAUCUAAUGGGUAAUUAUCAAUUGAGAAGGGUUUUGAUUUGAGAUCUGUGGUGGAAAAGCCCUAAUUGAAAUGUUGGUAUACUGGGUUUGAUCUAGAAUUGAAAGAAUUGUAGGUAGUCUGGAUAAUUAGUUAUUGCUUAUUAAUUCAUUUGUUGUACUAAUAGUUUGUAGACCAAGAAUAAGAGGAACGAAUUCGGAAAAGGGAAGAAUCAAGUUACUAAGGGGAUUCAAGCUUUGUUUGAGAUAGCUGAUUGUUGUGAUUUCAUGUCUUGAUAUGAACGUUUGUUAAUACAUGUAUGUAUGCGAAUUUUGGAUUAUUUAUCACACUAGUUGUAAAUGAGAUAGUUUAAUGAUUGAAUUCCAUGAAUCACAACUUGGUGGUAUGACUUUGAGAAUAUACAUAUGAUUGUGAGUAUGGCUUGUUAAAUGUAUCAGGUGUAGCAUUCCGACACAUGAACAAGGAUCGGUUACCAACAUUUCGGCAUAAACAUGGGAUUUAUUGCCACAUUUUGGCAUAAACAUUGGAUUGGGUACCAUGUAUUGGUAUCCUAAUAGUUUGGGUUUAGGUUCUUGGAGAUGACCAAUGACUUGACAUUAUUGUAUAUCUUGAGAUUGGGAAAAUGUACGAUGUUUCACAAAUGAUUUUGAUAUUUAAUAUGUUCGAUGUGUGUAUGUUAUACUGUGUUGUAAGGGCUUAUAUAUAUCGGACUAAGUGGAUAAGCGCGUGAUCUUACCAGUUCAUUGUGGUUGUGUAAUGAUACUGCACUUUCCCAUUCGUUGUUGAGUACAGGGCAUGUUCAAGAAGCUAUUUACCUACAUCGCUUAGAAGAUUUAUGAUCGUAAUCAAAUUUAAGGGUGAACAAGUUCUUCCGGGCUGCCAUGAGUUCUCUUUUCUGUCUAUGUCUACAUUUCAGACUUAGACUAGCCUUUAGGUUAGCUCUAUGUUAGUUUGGGGUUGUACCCCUUCUAUUUUAGACUUAUGAUUUAACUUUAGAUGUUUUGGUAAGAUUACUUUCAAGUGCUAGUCGUUUUUUAAACAUUUAUUUUGUUAGACUUUUAGAGUUUAUGGAAAUUGUAUUUGUUUCCUUGGCAUAUAACUUUCUUCUAUACUUAAAUGCCUUAGUAUGUUGGGAGAAUUUUUAGUUUAGGUUGUAGUAAUGGUUUCCCCACUAGCGGGUUAGUGCGAGUGACACUAAUGAUGGUCUAGGUCAUGACAAAGUUGGUAUAAGAGUAAUAGGUUUGUUGAUCUCGAUGUACCAAAAUGAGUCUACUAGAGUGUUAGGGAACGAUACGAAGAUGUCUGCACUUUUCUUCUAGAGACUAUUGGACAUUAAGAAAUCUCUCUAUUUCUCUCUUGUCUCCUUUCGUGUUAUUACUUAGUUUCAAUUGGUAUCUAGGGAUUUAAAUUUGUAUCUAACCUCUUUCACUUUUCUGUCCGCAGAUAGUUAACACUAAAUUCAACGGCGUCAGGCUUGUAGCUCCCUUCAAUGCUCCCGUUGAGGAAUUUGUAGUGAGAGGUCACGGUUGAGACAGGGUGUAAGAGGCUAAGAAAGCAUAACUCCUACUAGAGAUUGAGCACCAGUUGAAAAUGUUCCUCCGAAUGAGGCUCCCCAUUCCAUUAUAAAGAGAUAUAAGAGAAUAUUGAGGUUGAGAAUGAUGAGGAUGUUGGACAAGUGUAAGAGGUGAAGGUUGAGACUACAAGUAUUCUUCCCUUUGACCCAGUGUUAGAUCAACAGAUCAUGUCAUUUUUGAAAGGAUUGGUUGGUCCAGGAGUGCUUCCACCUGUUCAAGCAACUCAAUCUCCCGCCAAUCCCUUUAUUACUAUCAGUACUCCCAUGGUGGGUGAAACUGUUCGUAUGGAUGUCUUCUUUCAUUCUUAGUUGGGUCCUGUUAUGACAAGUAAUGAGCAUGAGGUAUUGACUAUGUUCUUGAAGUUGAAACAUCAUGUGUUUCAUUGUUCCGAGAGUGCGGAUGCAUAUGACUUCAUCCUAGAUUAUUAUGAGAGGCUUCAUAAAAUUGGGAUUGUCGGUUAGUGUGGGGUAGAGUUUGUGACUUUUCAGCCUCAAGCUAAGGCUAACAGUGGAGGAGAACAUAUGUAAUGCACAUCUUCAGUUUUACCACCACUUACUUGGACUCAGUUUCAUGCCCUAUUUUUAGAGAAAUAUACGUGUCUCGGACUUUGGUUGAUCAUAAGAAGGAAAGGUUGUAUGUUUGUGGAGCAAAGUUGUAUGUCUGUGGCUGCUUAUCAUCCUACAUUUCAUUCUUUAUUGAGAUAUGCUACGCAAUCGGUGACUACUGAGGAAGAGAGGAUUUGUUUAUUUACUAAGGAACUAAAUGAUGAGUUACAAGUAUUGUCUGUUCAUAUGAACUCUGUAGGUAGAACUUUAAAGGUAAUAAACUUUGUGAAGAAAGUGAAGGGGUUAAGGAGAGUCGGUUAGGCUAAGGAAUUGGCUAAGAGGGCCAAAAACUCGGGUAAAUUACAAGGUUCUUACUCGGGUAAAUUACAAGGUUCUUACACUAGAGGAACAUGGAGGCCAACACUUGCAGCCCGGUCAAUUCAGUUCACUAUGCCCACUUAUGCAGAUAAUUACUGAGGAACUCCACCUUAUAACAUGAUUCAAUAUAGCUACGGAGUUGCACUUUCGGUGGAUAGCAGUCCAUCUAUUGAUCAUACUUGCUAUAACUAGGGAGAAACUUGGAAAAUUAGAAGAGAUGAUCUCCACCCAUGCGUGAUGGAUUCCGCACAGCAGUAGACUAGAGUAGUGGUACCCGUGGAAAAUUGUAAUACUUGUUGAGGGUGUCCAUAAGGUGGGAAAGGAGGAAAUCAGCGAUGUCGCGAAAGUAACAGAAACGGUAACAGAGGCUGAGGUACAGUGUAGCAAGGCAGGAAAGUCGCUCAACACGAUGAUAGGGAUCAUGUUACGACUUUCAUGCAAGAAUGAGGCAGAAGAGUUUGAGGGAGUGAUCACAUGUACUAUUCUUUUAAAUUUUUUUCUGUAACUGGAUGGACAAUAUGUUAUUUGACCUAGUAUCUACUUAUUAUUAUGUAUCUAUCUGUGUUAUUUUCCUCAGAGUUUGAUAUGACUUGUGACUUGAUGCCCCUAUCCAUGUUUCUACCACAAUUGGAGAGUCUGUCACAGCCACACAUGUGUAUCGUGCUUGUCUUAUUUUGUUUAUGGGUUAUUAGACUUAAGCUCAUUUGGUGGUUUUUGGUAUGACUGACUUUGACAUAAUCUUAGGCAUGACUUGGUUGUCGCCCUAUUAUGUUGUGCUUACUUGUAAUAAAUACUAAGUAUGUGACUCUAGAACUCCGGGAAAGGGAAAAGUAAGAGUGGGAAGGCGUGUACAAGUCUAAGAAAGCUAAAAUCAGAACCUCCAUUAAAGCUAGAAAGCUGGUAGGGCAUGGUUUUUUGACUUAUUUGGCUCAUAUCCGAGAUGUUUAAUGUGAGUCUACAUAUAUUGAGUCAGUUCCUAUGGUUACAUAAUUCAAAGAAGUGUUUCGUAAUGAUUAGCCUAGUAUGCCUACAGAUAGAGAUAUAGAUUUAUGCAUUGAUUUAGAACCUAGUGUGCGUCCCAUUUCUGCCACUCCAAAUUGCAUGGUUCCAGUAGAAUUGAGAAAGUAAAGGCUCAAAUCCAAAAACUUUUUGAUAAAUGAUUCAUCCGCCCUAGUGCUUCCCUCUGGGGUGCUCCAAUCUUGUUUGUUAAGAAAAAUGAGGGUAGUAUUAGGAUGUGUAUGAAUAUCGGCAAUUGAGUAGGGUCACCAUUCGGAAUAAGUAUCCAUUCCCUCUAAUGAAUUAUUCUUUUACAAAUUACAAGGUGCAUCCUUGUUCUCUAAGAUUUAUCUAAGAUCUGAUUACUAUUGGUUGAAGAUUAGGCAUGAGGAUGUGAUAAAUACAGCAUUUAAAACUCGUUAUGGGCAAUACAAUUUUUUGGUGAUGUCAUUUGGGUUGACUAAUCUGCCCCCAACUUAUAUGAUUUUGAUGAAAGGUGUGUUCAAACCAUUUCUUGAUUUAUUUGAUUAGUCUUUAUUGAUGACAUUUUGUUCUAUUCAAUAAGUGAAGAAAAACAUGUCGACCAUCUUCGUAUUAUUUUGGUUGUUCUUGGGAAUCAAACAUUGUAUGCUAAAUUUUCUAAGUGUUAAUUUUUGUUAACUUGAGUUGAAUUUUUGGGGCAUGUACUUUCAAUAUAAUGGGUAAUGGUAGAUCCCGAAAAGAUAGAGCGAUCAAGAAUGGGACACGCUAGCUACUAUCAUAGAUCUAUGAAUGUGACACACCGAAAGUAUAAUGCUUAACUAGAGCCUCACAUGAUAAACUAGACCUUGUACUAUUUUUUAUGACCUAAAAUAAUAUUUAAAAAUCAUUUAAGAAGUUUUAGAGUCAAGACGUCAAGGAACAUCCAUGACGUCUAGUAAAUUGUGAAAUAUAAAUUAGUGUGCCUUAGCCUAUUUCACGGGGUUUUAGGAGUUGAAAAUUGAUGAAAUAUGGUAGAAAGGUGUGAAACAUGUGUUAAAGUGUAUUUAGGAUCGAAACUUCCGCGUAUGACUCACCAAGGACCACCCUAAGGGUCCUUGGAGAGAACCCUUGCAUUUGACCCCAAUCUGCAAAAAAAGGCAGUAGCCACCUACGAUUGCAGGCGACGAGGCGUGGGUGGGACGAUGGGGCGCCGAUGCCUCCGUCGUUCAACACAUAGACAUUACCAAAAAUGGACAAAAAAAAUCAUAGUUUCUGACACAAACGAUGGUUGAGAAAACGGUUGGUGCAGUGGGUGUUGACUGACCUAUAGACUGUAGGUCGAGGUCUCGUAGGUCAAUCCUAGCUUUGCUGUGAUGUUUCAAACUUGGCUUCACCAGAAAUAUGCAUCUCUUUGGUAUUUAUUAGCUUUGUGCAAAACUCUACUCCGUCUUGAAUUUCACGAAGCUAUAAAGGUGCUUGACUCGAUAUUCUCUCAAUGAAGUCAUCCAUCUUAUUUGUUCAUGUGUGCAUCUUCUCAAGCCUUCAAUCACUUUUGUCAAGCUUUCUAGUUGGUAGAAAUCAUUUUGAUAUUAUUUGAUGCUUGAAAAGUUGAGAUAAGAGGUAGAGUUUGUCCACUGGGCGUGCCAGAAUUUUUCAACAAUAAAAUUCGCGUGGAGAAAUUAAUUUUCAAGAAUGGAAAAUUAUGCAACAAUCGUUUUAUUGAUUUAAAGUGAGAGUGUUAAAAUCUUUAUGAUUUCUAUGAAUCCACCUUUUCAAAUGUAAAUUCAAGGGAUCUUAAUCUUGAUCUUUAAUUUUUCUUAAACUUGAACUUUAUAUUGAUCUUAGAUUAAGGGCUUUGCAGUUUGUUCUUGAAUUUUUGAUGAACUUGGACUUUAACUUUAUCUUAAUCUUGACAUUAAUUUUAUCUUGAUCUUGACUUAUAGUUGAAUGAAUACAAGGUUCGAGCUUGAUCUUGAAUUCGUUGGUCUUGAUCUUGAUCGUUCUUGAACUUCAACCCUUGAAUCCUUGAAUUCUUUAAUUCUUAAACUUGUAGCUUGUUGAGAAAUUUGUAGUUUUUGAUCCACACGCUUUCUCUAGAUUCUUGUUAAAAUUUUUGUUCCUUUUCUGAAUUAUGAGGACUCCUAUUUAUACUUUUAGAAUAUAGGAACUGUGAUAGGAAUAUGACUCCCUUCGACCUAUAAGAUUUAAAUGACAUGACAUAUGAGCUUUGUGGAGUGAGCUUUAGUUAAAUCCAUUUUUUUAAGAUCCAAACAAUCAACUCAAUUAUAUUAAUCCAUAAUAUUUAUUUGAACUUAUAUAUUCAUGCAUUUAGGAUAAUCCGAAUUAGUUUAUAAAUUUAUUUUUAAUAAAUUUUACACUAUUAAGAUUGUAAUGUGUUAACUAAAAUUUGAGGGAAAGCUUUUUAAAAGGUUUCUAAAUUAUUUUUAGACAUAUAAUUUACAUUUGUUGAUAAAUAUUUAGUACACUUAUUAAAAUACCUUAUAUUUAGUUGUUUUAUUCAAGAGAUGGUAGCAUAGAUCUUUAAUGAAUUUUUUUAUUGUACCUUCAAUAAUUUGAGUAGAGAAAUCUUAUGUGAAUACUCAAUUAUCGUGUGUUUUCUAAUUUGUACUUAUAGAAACUUGUGAGAAUAACUUUGUAGAAACAUAAGCCACAAAGUUUAAAACAUGUACUAUAUCAUAAACAUAAAUUAAUGACUAUAAAAUACAUAUCAGGAUCAGUAACAAUAGAAUGAAACAUGACGGAAAAAAUUGAGUCCAUUAAAUGUACAGUGUCACCUUAAGAUAAUUAUUCUCCUCUUGUACCCAAGGAUUAAUGGAAUAGAUCCUCUCGGGAUGGAACUAUUCUAUUCAUAAGUGUAAUGAUAUAAAAAUAAUGAUGUUAUUGAGCCACUCAACAUGAGCAAAGUACACGAAUAAUUAACUGUGCAAAAGAAGAACAAGAAGUUCAGAAUUUAUAUUGUUUUAAAAUUUAAAAAAUGAGAAGAAAUCUGGCUAUUUACAUAGAAUAAAUAAAUGGUAGUGUAAACAAAUGUUUAUUGUGACGUAUCGGAAAAGUCACUACUCUUUGAAAAAGUUACAACCAAAGGUCAUAAAAUUUCGUAAAAAUCACAACUCUUCAUAAAUGUCACUAUUUUUUACAUGAAAGAGGAAUACUAAUUUUUAAAAUAACUAAAUUAACAGUUAAUACUUAUUUGUGGUGGCGUCACAUAGUUGCAAAUAAAUAAAUUAAAAGGGAUCUUAUAAUUUAUUUAUGAAUAACAUAAACAUAACUUAAUGAUUGUAGAAAUACAUAGAUGGAUCUGUGACAUAAGAAAUGGUGUUGGUAAGCCACUCAACAUGAGGAAAGUGCACAAACAUUUUAUUGUGAAGAAGAAGAGGUUCAAAAUUUUCGUUGUUGUAAAAUGAGAGGAAAUUCCUCUAUUUGUAGACAACAAAAGAUAAUGUGAACAAAUAUUUACUGUGCCUUAUCAGAAAAGUUAUAAUUAUUUGGAAAAGUUGCAAACCUUCGCGAAGGUCUCAACUUUCCAUAAAAGUCGUAACUUUUAGUUAAAGUCACAAUUUUUAAUAGAAGUCAGAAUUUUUCAUAAAAGUCGCAACAGUUCAUUAAAGUCAUAUUUUUCAUAAAAAAUUUAACUUUUCAUAAAAGUUCCAAAUUUUCAUGAAAUGAAAAGAUCAGUUUUGAAAAUAAAAUAAAUUUAAAGAGAAUCCUGACUUGUAAUGGCACCACAUAGGCGAGCCUAGGGUUCUCCUUUAAAGAUAUACUAGGUAAUUGACCCGCGUGAAAGAAAAUUGACUAUUAUAAUUUUUUUUAAAAUAAGUACAUUUUUCUUGAUUUUUAAAACAUAUCUUGAGAAAUUAAAUGAUUUGACAUUAUGACAUAUCUCAAAAAUUAUAAAUAUACAAUUAAUGAUUAAUAAUAUCUUGAUAUAUAAUAAGUUUAAUCUUUUAUAGGAUUUAUCAUAUUAUAUGUUUGAUUAUAUAAUUGUGUUGUUAAAAUUGAUUCAUGUUUUUGUGUAGCAAUUGGACAUCAAAAUUUUCUUUUUUAUAUACAAUAUAGAGUCUGAUAAAUUUAUGAUUAUCGUAACUCCUUGUAUAAAAAAUAUGAAAGUUUUUGAUAAUCAAUAUUAGUUAUAAAUAAGCAAAGACAGUUAAAAAAUGUACACUACAACAACAUAAAUAAUUUUUAUAGAGACAGUCUACUUGUCUGAGGUCAAAUGUUCUCCAUAUUUUGUUAUUAUUACUUUGUUAUUCUAACAAAAAUUUAUAGAAGGAGAAAAAUAUAUAUGGACAACAGCAAAAUAAUAUUGUUGACCCUUAUAGAAAUUCAUUCUUCGUUAAUAUGCGGAAAGCCCUUGCAGAUGCUUUGUCAAUGCAACUUUACUAAUUUUCCAGGAAUAUGUAUGUAUGAUUGUUGCAUUAUGAAAGAACACAUAGAUUAAAAUAUUCUAUUAUAGACUCAUGUUAAAGAAACAAUCUCAAACAUUAAAAAAUUAAAAAUGAGUCUAAUAUAUAUAAUUCAAACGCUCAACAAUGGCUUGGACAUGAAGGAAAAUGAAUUUAUGCUAAUAGAUAAAUCUUUUGUAGCUUAAGAUAUUACUUUUAUUUAGAGUAGGUUUUGUUUCAUUUUCUUCAAAUUAAUCUUGACAAAAAUAGUCAUAACUUAGGCAAAAAAAUAUUUAGAAGAGUCGAACGAUAAAGGGAAAAAAACUUUAAAAUAACGAAGUUCAUUGUCAAGUGAAGUUAUAUUCGUACAAAAUAAAAAACAAUAAAUUCAGUUGUAAGGGGACAACAAAAGAGCGAGAAAAACACAUUAAAGGGAGUAAAUUGUCACGAUCCAACCUGAUGGGCCGUGACUAGUGCCCGUUUUGGACACUCACAUACAAACCUGUUAAGUAUAACCAACUGAAACUAAGACAAUAUGAAAUUUAAUCAAAUCAAGCCAACCCCAACGCCAUAUAUGUAUAAAAAUGUAUUUGUCUCAUAAGGAGUCAUAACCAUUCAACCGUAACAACAUACGCGAGCCGACAAGGCCACCACUAUCCAAAGCAUAAUAGCAUACGCAAGCCGACAAGGCUGCCACUACACAAUACACAAUGAUGUACGCAGCCGACAAGGCUGCCCCUGUACAAGCGAACAUCCCAAACAAACCAUGUCCGGACCAUUAUUCAAAACAUAUAUAUGCAACCCACAUAAUGUCUACAGACCUCUAAGAGUAUAGUAGUGAAACUCGACAGGACAGGGCCCCGCCGUAUCCAUACACAAGCAAAAGACUACACAGAAAGUUAUUUACCAAAACGACUGGGCUCCAGAGCACUGGAGCUCUCCCAAUCAGCAGAGUAGAUAUCCUAGGCGGGAGGAUCACCAAACGGUGCGUCUACACCAGCGGUCAUGAAACACAGCCCCCCAAGAAAAAGGGGUCAGUACGGACAAUGUACUGAGUAUGUAAAGCAUAAGGUAAAGAUGACAGGAUACCAACAUGAUAAGUCAAAACAAGAUAUCGCUACACGUGUAACUUUUAAGUGAAAAUCAAGCAUAUCUUUAACACAUAAGGUGCCCAGCUUCCCUAGCAAGGGACUCGGCAAAAUAAUCAUCAUAUAUAUACAUCAUACGAACCCGGCCCUCUAGUGAGGGACUCGGUGAAAUAGUUAUCACAUCAUCUCCGUCAUCAUCAUCAUCAUAACCAUCCUCAUCACCAAUCAUAUAUAUAAUAUACAUACCCGGCCCUCUAGUGAGGGACUCAGUGACAUAUGCAAGAAACUCCGCACGAACAUUACCCGGCCUGCAACUCGGUGAAAUGAUAAAUGACUCUAUGCACGAGCAGAAUAUUAUGAGCAACCAUAUGCAAUUAAAAUCAUUUUUUAUAACUCAAUAGAACAAUCAACGUGAACCGGCAAGGGGUAUUACCAAAGAUUAACGUUUUAUCAAGAUUAUGAACCUUUAAUACGAUAUGGAAACGUAAAAUCUCAGUGACUCUAAGAAGCACUACCAUAGAUAUGAGAAAUCACCAUAGACUUAGACAUAGCCGAUAUAUAGAGGAAUAGUUGUGGAAGCAAGAAUAUACGUCACCUAGACGCUCUAGAAGUAAGUAUGAAACUGGUCCGUCAUUCGCUCAUUUUUAAAAGUCAUGCCAAACAAAGAAAGAAAGGAUAGCGUUACAUACCGUAUAGUCGAGCCGCACGUCCAAUAUUUACUGCUCAAGCUAUUAAUCUAUAACAAGCAACAAUCAUGCCGCAAUUAGAUAGACGUCCCGCUUUACUACUUAUUGUAAGCUAGCUAAUAAUCUAACGGAAAUCCGGCAGCACUUCCCCUAUUUUCCUUACUUAGUCCCAAUCCGAUAACAACCCAAAUUAUCCACAGCAAUACCAAUAAAACAUAUAACCCAACGAAUCAUAUUAAACAGCCCCCCCCCUCCCCCAAAACAGUUCCGUCUCGGAAACCAUAGUAAUGAAACAAUGACACACCGAGCGAUAACUCGUUAUAUAAUUUGCAACACAUCUACCUUAUCGUAUUCAUCCUUUUGAGUAUAUACAUGGAAUCACAUUAACAUAUACAUAACUUCAAAAACAAAUUUCCAGCAUUUUGCUUUAAUCAAAACAGCCCAAACACUAACACGACAGCACUAAUAAUCUGACUAUGGUUUCCGUUCAUACUUAGCACAUUCAAUAACUAAAAAAAAUUUCCUUAGCUACUGGUCACGCCCCCUUCUUAACAUUAAUGGCUAAUUAACAAUGGCAUUCUAAGGAAUUAACACACCAAGCAAAGAGAUUACUAACCAAAUUCUUUUGUAGCUGCUAGCCAAGAGUUGCAUGGUUGGUUUUCUCCAUUUCCAUGGCUGUCUAUGAUAAGUGGUGAGGAAGAUGAUAUGUUUGCAAUGCAUUUCACCACCUCAUUCAUAAUAUGAAGUGGAGGCAGCCCCCCUCUACACGUGCCCCACUAAGGGCCAGCUCCCAAUCUGAUUUCUUUGAAUUUGCCUUGAGUGGUGGGGCCCACUUGAUUAAUUUAAUCCUAAUCAGCCACUAAUUAAUCCCUCACAUAGUUAAUGAAACUUAGAUUAGCCAAAUCAUACUUAGUAUCACAUGUGGAAUUAAAAUUCUUGCCUAAUAUUUCUUUAAUCACUUGAAACUUAAAAUAAAAUUUCAUUCCCCGGACUUACAUCUACUAGUUCAUGACGCGCACUACGUAUAAAUAUACGAGGCGUAACAUCCUUCCCCCCUUAGAAGCAUUCGUCCUCGAAUAUUAAGUUAGCGUCUUACAAAAAAAAUUCCAGCAAGGUCUCUCUAACAUUUAUACCUAUCAACCUGCAUUCCGUAACUUAUAGAUGCCUCACAGAGUCAACUUACUACAUAAUAUCGUUUAUUAAUCAAUAUAGUCAAGCUAGGAAUUGAAUUACAUGAAGGUACGGGGAACAAGUAAGGAUACUUAUUCUUCGUUUCGUCUCCGCUUCCCAAGUCAUCUCCUCCCUAUUAUUAUUUCGCCACAACACUUUGAUGGAAGCCACAUCCUUAGUACGUAACCUUCUAACCUGGCGAUCAAGUAUAGCUUCGGGUUUCUCCUCAUAUGACAACUCCAAGUCGGGAUCUUUAUCUCCUGUAACAAUCCACCAGCCUUUUGAUAUUCGAUCUUGACUUUUGACAAUUCGGGCACUGAGCAACAAACUCCGCUAUGUCCUUUUUCAUGCCAUCCCACCAGUAUAAGCAUCUGAGGUCAUGAUACAUUUUCGUCGACCCUGGGUGAAUAGAAUAACGGGCAGAGUUUACCUCUCCCAUAACCUGUCGUCGUAGCCCUGCAAUAUCGGGUACACACAAUCUGCCUUCAUAUCAUAACACUCCGUCAGGUGUAACCUUAAAUGGGGUCUUUUCCUUUUGAAGAGCUGCAUCUCUAUACUGUGCCAGAAAUAGGGUCCUCGUACUGGUGUCUUUUUACCUCAUCUAUGAUUGAGGACUCAGCAACCUCUAGAACAGAAACUCCACUAUUUCUGAAUUAGCCAGACGGACUCCAAGGUUGGAUAGCCGCUGAAUCUCCCGAACCAUCUCCCUCCUUUCUGGUUGUACAUCUGUCAAGCUACCCAUGGACUUACAGCUAAGAGCAUCUACUCAACAUUUGCUUUCCCUGGAUGAUAUAAAAUAUCAACAUCAUAAUCCUUUAGCAACUCUAAACACCGUCUUUGUCGUAAGUUUAGCUCCUUCUGUUUAAAGAUAUAUUGGAGACUCGUAUGAUCUGUAUAGAUGUCCACAUGGACACUAUACAAAUAAUGCCUCCAUAUCUUCAAGGCAUGAACCAUGACUGCUAACUCCAAAUCGUGAGUAGGAUAAUUAUUUCCAUGCUUCCUAAGCUGUCGGGAGGCAUAUGCUAUAACUUUGCCAUGCUGCAUCAAUACACAUCCUAGCUUAACACCCGAAGCAUCACAAUAAAUAACAUAGCCGUCUGGUCCCUCCGGAAGAGUUAGGACUAGAGUUAUAUUCAAUUUGUCUUUCAAUAGCUAGAAGCUUCGCUCACAAGCAUCAGUCCACCGGAACUUGGCUGCCUUUUGAGUUAGCCUUGUCAAAGGCACUGAAAUUGAGGCAAACUUUUCCACGAAUCUCCUAUAGUAUCCUGCUAACUCCAGAAACCUGCGUACCUCAGCAGGUGUCGUAGGUCUGGGUCAAGUCUUUACCGCCUCAAUCUUCUGCAUGUCUACCCGAAUACCAUCAGCUCCAAUAAUAUGCCCCAAGAAUGCCACUGAAGUCAACCAGAACUCGCACUUGGAGAACUUAGCAUACAACUUCUGGUGCGAAAGCACCCUAAGUACCGUCCUUAAAUGGUCUGCAUGCUCCUCUUCUGAACGUGAAUAGACCAGAAUAUCGUCUAUAAAUACAAUAACAAACAUAUCAAGAAAUGGUUUAAACACUCGAUUCAUUAAAUCCAUAAACACCGCUGGAGCAUUAGUUAGCCCAAAAGACACCACUCUAAACUCAUAAUGCCGGUAUCUGGUCCGGAAUGCCGUCUUUGGAAUAUCUGCCUCCCUUACCCGUACCUGAUGAUAACCUGACCGCAAGUCUAUCUUUGAAAAACACUUAGCACCCUGCAACUGGUCAAAUAGAUCGUCAAUCCUUUGGAGGGGAUACAUGUUCUUUACUGUUACUUUGUUCAGCUGCCUAUAAUCAAUACACAUCCGUAGCGACUCAUCCUUCUUCCUCACAAACAGUACCGGUGCUCCCCAAGGUGACGUACUAGGCGUGAUGAAGCCCUUUUCUAGCAAAUCUCUUAAUUGCUCUUUCAACUCAGCAGGUGCCGUUCUAUAAGGAGGUAUAGAUAUAGGUUGGGUAUAUGGCAGUACAUCUAUAUAAACUCUAUCUCUCAUUUUGGAGGAAGGCCUGGAAAUUCCUCUGGGAAUACAUCGGGAAAUUCAUUAACUACCAGGACUGAUUGAAGAGUCGGUGCCUCUGCCUUUAUGUCAUACACCCGAACCAGAUGAUAAAUAUAGCCUUUUCUAACCAUCUUCCUGGCCUUGAGGUAUGAAAUAAACUUACCUUUCAGCGAUACUGUAAUCCUCUUCCACUCUAUAAUCGGUUCCCCUGGAAAUUGAAAUCGAACUAUCUUUCCUCUGCAAUCAACAUUAGCAUAACAAGCAGCCAACCAAUCCAUGCCCAUGAUAAUAUCAAACUCAAUCAUAUUUAACUCUAUUAUAUCUGCUAUGGUACGACGGCUAUCUAUAACCACUGAACAAUUCUUAUAUACUCGCGUAGCUAUGACAGAAUCUCCUACAGGUGUAGCUACCUCAAAUGGUUCUAUCAACUCAGACUCUAUUCCGAUCCUACUAGCAACGAAGGGGGAUAUAAAUGAUAAGGUGGAACCUGGGUCUACCAAUGCAUACACGCUUCGGGAGAAUAGUGAUAAUAUACCUGUGAUCACAUUAGGUGACGCCUCCUGAUCCUGCCUACUAGUCAAAGCAUAUAUGUUGUUCGAGGGACCGCUAGAACUGGAAGCUCCACCACGGCCUACUGGCGCUUGAAUACCCUACCCCGUAGGGCGCAUAUCCACAGAAGAAGAUGAACCAGCAACGGACCCAGUAGGUUGUGCCAUACCACCCUCACUACCUCUAAGGUGACACUCCCUCAUAGUAUGAACCUGACGGCCGCAAGAAAAACAUGCACCUGUAGCCCAAUGACAUUCCCUAGGAUGGGACCUACCACAACGAGAACACCGAGGCAAAGGUGGCCUCGACUGGCUCAAACCCCUGCCCAUCUGUGACCUUGACGCCCUAGAGCUCUUACCAGCUUCCGAAUAUCCCGUACGAUCAAACCCCUUACCCAUGGAACAUAGGGGUGCACUCUGUGCUGGCUGGGAAGAAAAUCUAACAUGUUGCUGAGACUGCCCGCCUCGAAAGUCGUUAGGAUAACCUGCUGAGCCCUCUUAUGCUGGCCUCUAUUAUAAUCUCUAUCUGGCUGACGUCCCCGGUGCCGAUCCUCUAUCCCCUGUGCAUAUGCCUGCACCCGAGCAAUGUCCAUACCUGGCUGAAGAGUCAGUGCCAUACAACCGUCAAUCAGAUAACGAUCCAAUCCCAUCACAUAACGAUGUACCCUGUCUGCCAUAUCAUCCACAAUAGUAGGCGCAUGCCUAGCCCAUGAAUCAACUCGAGGCUUUACUCUCGAACGCUCGUACCAUUCUGCUUCUAACGCAAGAAUCUAUCGACUCUAGUCGCUUCAUCUCUGGAGGCAGGAAGUGGCCCUGGAAAGCCUCCACAAAUCCAUCCCAUACCGCUGGAGGAGCACCCUCACCCCUAGAUAACUCCCAAGACUCCUACCAAUUAAUAGCUACAUCCCGCAAACGAUACGUAGCCAACUCAACAGACUCGGUCUCCGAAGCCUUGAUUAUCCUCAAUGUACGCUGCAUCUGAAGAAUAAACUCUUGCGGAUCAUCCUGGGGCCUUGACCCAAAGAACUUUUGAGGAUUACAACUUAAGAAGUCACGAGCCCUUAAGCUAUCAGAUCUGUCCGCAUGAUCAACUCCUAGUCCAUGCCUGCGAGCCUGACCUGCCACUAAUGUAGUCAGCAACUGAACCGCAACUCUCAUGGCCCUAUCCUCCGCCCCUGGCUGAGGAGCUGGAGGUUCAGGUGCUAGGGCCUCGGGGCUGGUGGUGGGGUCCCCCGAACUGGAGCUGCUGCUGCUCUAAGCUCCUCUUGCAAUGGCGGUGUAGUAGAGCUCUCCGACUGGAGCACAAUACCAGGCAUAGACUGGGCACGGGCCCUAGUAACUCUCAGGGUCUGACUCGUUCCUUCUGCUAUUGAUUUGCCCUUCUGGGCGGCUGUCGCUUUCUUUGGAGGCAUAGCUGAAAACACAGGGGUUCGUUAGAGAGGGAUUAUCCUAUUAAUAUAGCUCUAUCGCACGAUCCAGAAUAAGAAGAAAGGAUGACAUCCUAAAUGUCCUGUAGCUCCCUGUUUAUAGAUGUGGUGCACAACACACCGAUAAAUAUGACUCUACUAGACACGGUCUCUAGACACUUCUGAGAAAGAACCGCUCUGAUACCACUUUUGUCAUGACCCAACCCGAUGGUCCGUGACUAGUGCCCGUUUUGGACACUCACAUACAAAUCUGUUAAGUAUAACCAACUGAAACUAAGACAAUAUAAAAUUUAAUCAAAUCAAGCCAAUCCCAGCGCCAUAUAUAUAUAAAGUGGAUCUGUCUCAUAAGGAGUCAUAACCGUUCAACCGUAACAACAUACGCGAGCCAACAAGGCUGCCACUAUCCAAAGCAUAAUAGCAUACGCAAGCCGGCAAGGCUGCCACUACACAAUACACAAUGAUGUACGCAGCCGACAAGGCUGCCUCUGUACAAGAGAACAUCCCAAACAAACCAUGUCCAUACCAUUAUCCAAAACAAAUAUAUGCAACCCACAUAAUGUCUACAGACCUCUAAGAGUAUAGUAGUGAAACUCGACGGGACAGGGCCCCACCGUACCCAUACACAAUCAAAACACUACACAGAAAGUUAUGUACCAAAACGACUGGGCUCCGAAGCAGUGGAGCUCUCCUAAUUAGCAGAGUAGAUAUCCUAGGCGGGAGGAUCACCGAACGGUGCGUCUACACCUGCGGGCAUGAAACGCAGCCCCCCGAGGAAAGGGGGUCAAUACGGAUAAUGUACUGAGUAUGUAAAGCAUAAGGUAAAGAUGACAGGGUACCAACAUGAUAAGUCGAAACAAUAUAUCGCUACACAUGUACCUUUUAAGUGAAAAUCAAGCAUAUCUUUAACAUAUAAGGUGCCCAGCUUCCCUAAUAAGGGACUCGGCAAAAUAAUCAUCAUAUAUAUACAUCAUACGUACCCGGCCCUCUAGUGAGGGACUCGGUGAAAUAGUCAUCACAUCAUCUCCGUCAUCAUCAUCAUCAUAACCAUCCUCAUCACCAAUCAUAUAUAUAAUAUACAUACCCGGCCCUCUAGUGAGGGACUCGGUGACAUAUGCAAGAAACUCCGCACGAACAUUACCCGGCCCGGGACUCGGUGAAAUGAUAAAUGACUCUAUGCAGGAGCAGAAUAUUAUGAGCAACCAUAUGCAAUUAAAAUCAUUUUUUAUAACUCAAU